rnacentral:lncRNA from 1 species
AAAGCCCAAAACUCGUAAUUCCCGUCAUAAUUUGAUCCAGAAAUUAUGCUCGCACAAUCUUCACUAAAACUAUCAUAACUUGAGCUCCCAAACUCGAAAUUGAGUGAUUCAAAGUGAAUUGCAAAGUUAAGAGAUAUAUAUUCUAUCAAUAGGAGGACAUAUGGAUCUAGAAAUGCCUAGAUCCCUUCCAAAAAUGCACGCAAGUUGACUAUUUGUCACAUGGCUAGGCGUGUGGGUUUGAUUGAGGUCCUUGAAAUGCAACGUCUAGACUUGUUAACAUCUUCCACAUGAGCUUGUCAUCAUAGAUUGGAAUUUUAAGGCCACGAACAAUAUUAGCCCUUUCUAAUUUAUCCUCGCUCCAUAUUAAACUCCAAAAUCUAUCAUCUUGAAGUUUCAACUCUUCUUUACGAUUUUUUUUUUUGUGAUAAAGUCUUGAACGAAUAAGUUGAGUUUUGACUUGAACUGCCUGAAUUUAGAUCCUUGAGGGAAACUAAGCUCAUCUCUAUCAUGACAUUUUAAUUGGACCGGGCUACUCGUAUCACCUAUAUAGUAUUAUAAUUUAUAAAGUAAAAGGCUAAAAUUUUAUUUAAUUGACAUGAAAUAAGUUCUUUUGAAAUAUCUUCUACUUGUAACAGUUUGUGCCUCUUAAAUUAUUGAAUGGUCUAGCUUAUUAAAGUACAUGAUGUAUGGUGUGGUGACUGCUCACCUUAUCUCAUAAUUAUAAAGUUGGGGGUUCGAUCCCCACCUAUAGGAAUGGAGUUCAUUUCAUGGCCAACUAUUUUACCUCUUUGGAGAGCAUCUACGACAAGAGAAUUAGACACUAUUAUCGAUAGUAGACACCCUAAUUUUGAAAAAAAAUUACUAUAAUUGCCUCAUUAAUUGGAGUAGUACACGGUCUCCAAGUGCUGCUUUGCCAUGGAUUGAGGAUGUACAGGUAUAUAUGGAUGCAUGAUAACAGUGACAUCUUAACGGUUAAAAACUGUUAAAAUAUGCUAUGCUCUGACAUGAUGGGGGAAGAUUUACAAUGGCAACGGACAUGACGAGUUACAUGGAGAAUCAAGAUUGGAUCCGGUGGCUGCUAGCUCAUUUGUUCAUAGAAAUGUUGAACUUCACGCAGCAAACCAUUCAGACAUAUGUAUGCGGUUCGGAAACAAAUAGUUUUGCCACAACCCUUGAAUAUACCAAUAGGCUAUAAGGUCAAUUCUGACGUUGCCCAAUAGGACACAUGAUGGACGGUUGCCGACACGGUAUCCAAAGGAAUCGGCGCUGCCGUGUAAAACAUAGCUGUUUAGUAAAGUUGGAUCUUAUAAAUGUGCCUCAACAUGUCUUUGUUUUUGUGGUUGAAGUUCAAAAUAUCUUUAUAACUCUUUUAAAAAAAAUAAGGUUGCUCUUUUUUUAUUAGUUUUGUCUAAAAUAUUUAAAUUAUGGAUUAAUAUUUAUUACAUUAAUAAUAUAUUUUUUAAUUUCACAUAUUAAAAAAUUAAUCAUGUAUUUAAUUUUAUAUAUUGGUUUAUUAGUUUUUCGCAAUUUACAAGCUCGUUUAAAAGGAUAAAUACUAAUUAUUAAUUUUAAAAUUACUUUAUACUUAAUUCUCUUAAUAAUGAGUCAAAUAUUUAUUUUUAAUACAUGAUAAAACACUUAUUAUCACUUUUAACACAAAAUUCACCGCAUAUUUUCCCUUAAACGAUUGGAUGUGUGAAUUGUGAUAGUCCACAAUCUGUUUUUCACAUGGCCACAGUGGAAAAGUUAAUUUCACAACACAUGGUUAAACUAUACCUAAAGUCGUUAAACUAUUAAAAAAUUUAUAUUUUAGUCACUCAACUUUAAAAAAUUAUAAAAUGGUUAUUAAAUUAUUAAAAAAAUUUAUUUAAAUCACUAGAUUGUUAAAAUCAUUGUUUUAUGGCCCUUUUUGUUCACACCUUUUAUACCAAUCAAAAGCUCUCAUUUCUCUUCUCUUCUAUAGUUCAAUUUUUUUCAUAAAAUAAAUUUAAACAUCACAAAUUUACGAACCAAAAUUUAAAUGGCUUUUUUUAUCUCCAAUACUGGCCGUCAAACCGACUUAAAUUUAAAUAUGUUCUUUUAUUCGUUGAUAAAUAUUAAUCCACCAUACCAAUUGUCAUUUAGAGUUCACUAACUAAAUUUUAAAAAUACAACUUAACAGUAUAGUGACUUAAAUAAAAAUUUUUAAAUAAUUUAGUGAUUAUUUUAUAAAUUUUUUAAAUUAAUUGACUAAAACUUAAAAUUAUUAAUAAUUUAGUAACAUUAGGCGUAAUUUUUUUUUUCAUUUUCGCCCUCUUAUCAAGUCAUUUAAAAAUCGAAAUGUCGUAAUCAAAAUUAAAGCAAAAAUAAAUCUCAUUUCAUCCAUUAGAUAUUUUGGCCGUUGGAUCAUUCGGUCAUUCUAUCGUUAAGAUAGAUAUGUAAAUAAAUGCACUUAGAUACUCACUGUAUCAUAACUUGUAGUUGAAAAAGGAAAAUAGAAGGGAACAAAAAGGAACAUUGAAAGUUUUCCUUUAAAGAAGCAGCGAUGAGUUCAGCUUCUUCAGUACUUGUCGCUUCUUCAUCGUUUCUAUAUUGGAUUCCUAAGCCUUCUCCUUCUAAAUUCUCCAAAUUCCCGUCAACUCCUUCCCUUACUCCGUCUUCUCCGCCGUGUUACCGUGUGGUGUGCAGUGGCGGAUCCCCUCAACCGGCAUCGUUCCCCGAUCUCAGCUUCGCCUUGCAUGAUGCUCUCGAAUCUACUGGAAUCGAUGCCUCUCAUGCUAGAGUAACUACUACUACUCUCUCUCUCUCUUUCUCUGUUCUUACAUGAUCUUUGAUUUUUUUUUUUCAGUUUUAGGAUAUGAGUUUCCUUCUUUUUUGGUCUUAAUUGUGAAGAGUGUCUAAUUAUAGCAAUUUUGCUCGAAUCUUUUACUUUCAGUUUGGAAACAUGAUAUGAUUCGAGUUAGUGUCCAUGACUAUGAUGGAAAUUUCCUUUUCUUUUUCCUGAUAAAUCUUAAUCGAAUUGUGUUCUUUAAUUCUAAAUUUGGAGAGAUUUUUAUGUGAAUUGAGCCUCCUUAGUACGAUUGAAGAAUUUCAAUUAUGGCUAUUUGAUCCUUUUUUAUGGAUUAUUUUGGUAUGAUACCAUUUUUUUUCAGUUAUAAAUAAUUAUGUUAUCUGUCAGGAAUUGAUGUACUUAUGGCGAUUUUUGUGCUUGGUGACCUAUAUAUAUGUUUGGUUUAAAAUUCAAUUACUCAAGUUUUAGUUUGUUCAAUUUAAUUUUGUUUAAGUAAAGAGAAAAAAGCGUGCAAAAUAAAAUAAAAUCGUUUUGGAACGUUUGUAGUGGUUUUAAAUACAGGUCUGAAAGAUGCACUACAACACUUUCGAUUCAAAUUAAUUUUUUAUCUUGGGGAGGAUGGUACUUCGAAAGUAUGUCCUGGUUUUAUAUUCGAGUCCAAUGGGAUUUUUUACCAAAAAAUCAAAUAAUAAUUGAGAGCUUAAGUGCGAUGAGAAUUUUAGUCAUAUGUUAAUCUAACAUUGUUUUUUUUUUAAUUGAUUUUUGAACAGGAGGCGAGGAAGAGUUUUGUUUCGCAGAUUCAAAAGUUAUCUGAUAUAGAGAGAGAAACAAGUAUCUGCAUAAAUAGAUGUGUUGAUCUGGGGAGAACAUCUCUUUAUAUAGCAGCAGAGGAUGAUUCUCUCAUGUCACAGUCUUCCGUUCCUCUGCCGGUGGAUGCAUUCCUCGAAAGAUUGGAUGAUCUCUCAAUGGGCUACUGCUCCCACUAUAACUCAGUAUGUAGGUCGUCAAGGCAGAAUUUUUUGGAGAGCAUAGAAAAAUAUCUAUAUGUCAAAAAGGUACUAUCUAAUUUUUACUCUUUUAAGUUCAAGGAAUUAUGCAAAAUUUAUGUAAUGAAUUUUCUUCUUCAUUAAAUCUCAGAUUUGCAGAAUGUGUCAUAAUGACGUAGCCUCUCUGUGCUUCACUGGUUGUAUAUAUGAGAUGAAACAUUUUGUCUCCUUUAGUUACUAAUUGAUCAAAUUCUUUGAACUUCAGUAACUUGGUUGCUUAACUGUUUACUUAAUCUUUUUUCUUUUUCUAAUUGGUCAAUCCAUUCACUUCUUCUAAGGGCUUCCGAAGAUCUACUGCCAAUAAUCAAGCAGAGCCACAAGCCCUUGAUCUUCACUCGGUAUGAAAUUUGCCUUCUAGUGUAUGACUCUAUACUCUUUUCAGAAGGGUGUACCAUUUUGUAGUGUUUGUUUUGUUAAAUAAUCUUAUGUUUGAGCAGGUUUUGACACAUCGUUCGGGUUCUGCUGUAAUGCUUUCACUGAUACAUUCAGAGAUUCUGAAAAUGCUUCGCUUGUGGGGCCUUCUGGAUUUCGAUGUUGAGAUUUUUUUUCCACAUGGUCUUCCUAGAGCCUAUGAUAAGCAAAAGAGCAAAGAGUCUGAUCAGCCACACAUAAUGACCGUAUAAAUGCUAUUGGAGGAGGUGACUUUUAUACUCGUGAACUUUUUAUGUUCUUUACUUCUUACUAUUUUAAUAUUAAAUCCUGGCUGAAAUGAGAAAAGAAAACAAAUUCUAGUUAUUUAUUUUUCCAAUAAGUUUUUAUUAUAUCUUUGUCUUGUGCUUUUUCAGUUUUCUUAAUUGAUAUCAAAUAAUCAGACACAGACAGAAGGAACGUAAGUAGAAAAAAUAUAUAUCAGCUUCCUACAUUACAAAGAACCAAAGAAACCAAAAUGUUAAAUGAUUGCAAACUAUUUAAUUAAUUCUCUCCUUUCUCUUUUGCAAGUCUCUUCCCCUGUGUUUCAUAUGAAGCUAAAGGUGGGAUUUUGAGAUUUCAACAUCUAUUUAACUAAGGUCUUAACUGGCAUGCAAAUUUGGUAUACACUUUGUUUUUAAUCUAUAUGAAAAGUUCCAACAUGACAUCCCUUGUACGGGUAAGCUAAUCUUUUUCUUUUUUUGGGUAUUUGUGGGAGAUUUAUCUUCAAUACAUUCAAACUUUGACCUUUUUAUUUAAUCUAUUUCUGUUAUGGAUAUUGCAUUUUCUCCUCAUUUUGUAAUCUUUUACCUUUGGUUUUUGUUAUCUGUUCUCUGCUCAGAUAGUUUCAUGAUUGCAGAUUUUAAGAAAUUUAAAGGAUGCUUUCUGGCCAUUUCAACGUGGUGCUGCUGAUAGUUUAUUCUUAAGGGCCGCAAAUGCUGCUAACUGUAUAGAUAAAUUUAAUGGCUUUGAAGAUAGGUAUUUUAUCUAUAUUUCAAUUCUUUCUGUAUUUAGAUGUUAUUUUGGAGUUCUAGGUUAUGAUUUCACAUUUAUUUCAUACAGUGGCUAUCGGCUUGCAUCUGCAAAGGCUGCUCAACAUAGGCUAGAUCGGGGUGUCUGGACCAGUGUUCAUUUUGGGGAUAUGAGGCGUGCUUUAUCUGUUAUGAUUAGAUGGUGUUGCAUGAGUAAAUUCUUUUUUAUUUUAGCUAUCACAUAUCAAGAUCAAUAAAUGUAAAGAUAAUUGAAAUUUAUUAUUGUGCAUUCCUUCUCUCAUUCUCAUACCUUGCAACAGAAAGGGUUCAGAAAAUUAUUUGCACUAUUUCCAGUUUUAGCAUUUGGUCUUCCUUCUUUUUCGUGUCAGUUCAAAGCUUUUGGUUUCAGCGAUUAAGUUCAUUAUCCUUUUUCUCCGCUUUUGAAUUUCCUUUCUCAAACCUGCUUUAGGUAAAAUUUCGUCUUCGUUUUGCUCAUGAAGUUGUAUGGCUUAAUGCAUUUUGAUGUAAUGUCAAGGUUUAUGUACUUCUAUUAUGAUGAAAUUGUUACCAUAUUUCCAGCAUGUGAACGCCUUAUUCUUCUAAGAACCGAUCCGAAGGAAAUGAGAGAUUAUAGCAUUCUCCUCUAUCAUUGUGGAUUGUACGAGCAGGCUCUGAAAUUUCUCAAAUUGUAUCAAGACAUGAAGGUAAGUUUCAUGGUACACCUUAAUAUGCAACUUCGAACUCUGUUUUUAAGAAUUGGGACAAACAUGUUUAGUGAACUAUUUUCAGAGUUCUUCCGCACAAAAUCCGUCAACAGAUCCAGUUAGCAACCUAGAAGAAGAUACUGUGAAGAAAUUGAUUGUUCGUCUCAAUCUCAUUGCAAUGGAGGGAGGUUGGACCCGGCCAUGGUAUGUCAGAAAUUAUCUUGGCAAUAACUCUGAGCCAUGGUAAGACCUUCACACAUUUUCCUGUGGCGUUUUAAAUUUCAACAUUACCUUCUCCGAGAUGGAGUCAACUUAAGAGUGAGUUUACAGAAGUUCACAUGUCCCUUAACUGUGCAGUUUAGGAUCGUAACACGAGCCUGCACAUAGCAUAAGACGGAUUGAUCCGUCCUUAGGAUUCGACCUAGGCAUAUUGCAAAAUGAUGAAAUAAGGUAAUAGAUAAUUGCAUUUGGCAUUGGGUUCUAACAUAUGGUUAAUUUAGUAUACGAGUUUUUUAGGCUGCCUUAGUAGUAUUAUCUUAUCCCUGUACAGCAACAAAGAUUUUGUUUUGGCUUACCUUAAAUGGUUGUAAAUGAUUGUUAUUUGGACCUGUUGUGUAUUUAACAGAGUAUGAAAAUAGAAAAUAUGAUUACACACAAGCUAUUUUGGUUUGGUUAGCCCUUGUAGAGUUGAGUUUAAGGAAUUUGAGUAUUCUAAUGCUUCACUCAAAUAACUCCCCAACCAAAUUUAGGUUUUUAUUUUCAAAAUAUAUAUUUUGUAUUCUUUUAUUAGGAUUGUAAAUUCUCAAUGUAAGAAUCAAAGCACAAAUAAUUGAGCUUGAAUGCCAGCAAUGAUAUGGAACUUUAAACAAACUCUAACUCCGCAUGUUCAGGAGCUUGAAGCAUAUGUUAAAAUAUGUCAUAAGUUCAUGUACUUUUCUUAAAUUUGAAAUUUAGUUUUUUUCCUUUUUCAGAUUUUAAAAUUUAGGUCUAAUUGUUAACAAUGAUAAAAUUAUUUGUUAAAUUCAGAUUUAUCAUGUAAUUUUUUUUAGUUAUAUUGUUACCUUGCGAUUUUUUUUUUAAUUUCAAAAUAUCACACCACUAAAUUUAACAAAAAAAAUUUAUAGUGUUAACAAUUGGAAAGCUUCUAUCUCAAAAUAAUUUUAUACCCUUUUUUAAAUCUAUUUAUAAUCUCUCUUUAAUUUUUAAAUAAAAGAAAAAAAUAUAUUUCAACACAGUCAAAUUCAAAUUCAUGGUAAAUGUCAGCCGAUUUAGUAAAAAUGAUUAAUUCAAAUUAAUGAUUAAUAAAUGAUGUAAUUAUUUAUUUAAUUAAUAUGAAAUACUUAUUUCAAGUAAUAGUUUAAUUACAUUUUAAAAGUAUUUUAAUGGCAUUCUUAUCGGUGUUCAAUGUUCAUGGACUGGUAAUCAGGCUUAAUCAACAAGUAUUUGACAUUUGGAUUUUGAAUUUUGUUUGUAAAUAAUUAGACGAAAUCCGUUUUAAGUUAAUUCAUUUCUUUUGAUGAAAGAAAUUAAAAUAUGUGUUUUUUUUUAUUAUAAAAUGUCCGGGUAUUUUAUUGGAAAAAAAUAAAAGAAAACAAUUGGAGGCCCAACAGACCAUUGGACCCAGACCUGUUACAUCAAAAACUAAAAGCAAAUUCGGCCUCACUAUAAUGUUGAUAGUGAAUACCGCCUAACCAGCAAUUAAAAUGUAACUUAAUGGAAACGAAAAGCAAUAAAUGAAAAGGAAGAAAAAGGAACCUAAAUAUCUACCCCAGUCAGAUCAAACGGCUGGAUACCGUUAAUUUUCUCGAUUUGUCAUUUCAAAAUCCAAUCCAUUCUGACGAUAGCAGUUUCCGAGGAUAAGACUUUACUUUCUAUCUUCUUUUGAAAUCAUUUCCCUCAAACGCUCCAUCAGUCUGGAUUUAUUGGCCAUCUUCUCUUCGAAGCGAAAAUAUGGCAAUUCAGCUCUUCUCCCAUCAGGUAAAAUGUUUCUCCUCUAUCAAGAGCGUCUUUUGCUAGUCUAUGUGCUUGCAAGUUCCCUGAUGUGUGAAUAUGCUGAAAGAUAAUAUCUUGAAAACAAGGUUUCUUAUUCUGAAUGUCUCUGAUAAUAGCUCCAAUCACUAAUUUAUUUGUUAAAGUCAUUUGGCAUUUUUAUUAUUUUUUUGGAGUCCCUCAUAAGUUUAGCCGAUUGAACUCCCAGUGAGAUCCCUAACUUUGUGCCUUCUAAAUAUGCAUACGCUUCUGCUGCAAAUGGGGAGGAAAUAUUGUUGUGAAUGAUCAUCUUUAAAACCAGUAGUUCCCCCCUCAAAUCCCAACCCACCAAACCUAUCGCUAAUUUGAAGUUUCUACUAUCAAAUGUUGCAUCGAAAUGGAUCGUUACUCUCGAUAUGUCCUUCUGGAUUUUGUAAUUUCUGUUCAUAUUAACAGGGAUAUUCAUUACUUUCACUCCUUCAUAUUUUGCCAUAUGCCUAUGUACAUUUUGUGUUAAAACUCUUCCUGUUGUAUUUUUUCCCUCAUGCAUGAACUGAUUUCUGGAAAACCAUAUUAACCAUAAAGCAUAACAGAAGAGUCGGCAUUGAGCGUUGUUACCUCUCUUGAGUACCUAGGUUAUCCACUCCCAUAGACUUUAAUUCAUAUUAUUCAUGACCCAGGAUAAAUGUAAAAACUGCCAAACUUCUAUUGUUGUAGGACAUCCAUGGAAGAUAUGAAGGCUGUCUUUUGCCCAGGAACAGCAACGAGGACAUUAUCGUGUGAAAUGGCUUUUCUGUACCUGAGAAUAGCAAGAUUAGGAAUAAAAUCCUAGGAAAUUCGCCAAAUAGUGAUUGUGAUUUUUGAAGGUAGCUGUAGGCUCCAUAAUUUCCUGUAAAAUUCUUUAGUUUCGGUCUGUAAUAAAUAAUUACUAGGAUUCGAAAUAGCAUAUUGUAAUAAUUUAUAGGCCCUGUGUACUGAAUACUCGCCAGAUAAUUCUCCUUUCCAAACUUGAGUAUCCUCGUGAUCAGUCUCUGCAAGAGGGAUCUGUAGAAUUUUCUGAGCAAUUUUCGCUUGAAAGGUACUAUUAAUCAAAGCUAUCCUCCAUUUUCUGUUUGUAGUAUCAAUAAGAUCCAAGACUAACUGUAAUUGCCCAUUAUUUGAUCUGUUAUGUCCGUCAACUGUAUCGAUCCCCUAUAUCCAGCUAUCUUCCCAGAUAGAAAUUUUGUCCCCUCUGCCCACUCUCCAUUACAUCAUUUUUUGAAAAGUCCCUUUGCUUCCCAAAUACUCUUCCAGGUAAGUGAAGGUAAAUUUCUUAACUCUGCAUUUAGAAAACUUGAUUGUGGAUAGUAUUUUGCUUUUAAAACUCUAGCUAAUAAAGAAUUUGGAUAAUUAAUAAGGCGCUAACCCUGUUUGGCUAAUAACGCAAUAUUAAAUUGACCAAAAUUUCAAAAACCUAAACCACCAUUUUCUUUUAAGGAACAAAGGUUUUUCCAAAUGCACUAAUGAAUUCCCCUUUUUCCAUGUCCCUUCUGCCACUAGAAUCUCACAACGAUACUUUCGAGUUCAUCACAUUGAACUUUAGGUAAUAAGAAACAAGCCAUCGUGUAAGUUGGUAUAGCCUAGAGAAUGGCCUUUAUAAAUACUUCCUUUCCACCAUGAGAUAAAUACCUGUUGCUCCAAUUAUCAAUACGUUUUUUGAGUCGGUCCUUCAGAUUUUGAAAAGAUUCAUUUUUUCUCUGACCCACCAUAUUCGGCAACCCUAGGUAACGUUCUGGUUCAUUCGAACUGAAGACCCCCAAUAAAUUGACAACCAGUCUCCUGUCUUCCUUCGAUGUGUUUUUACUAAAAAAUACUAUUGAUUUGUUGAAAUUAACACAUUGACCCGAGCAAAAUUUUUACUCAUGUAGGAUGUCUUUGAAUAGAUUUACACCUUUGCUUGUUGCCUUUCCAAAUAAUAUGCAAUCAUCAGCGAAUAAUAGAUGGGAUACCUGUGGGCCACUUCUACUAACCUUAACACUUUUUAAGAAUCUUCCAUUCGUUGCUAGUCUCAGUAGGCUCGAUAGACCUUCGCCACAUAAAAGCAAUAAGAAUGGACUUAACAAAUUACCUUAUCUAAGUCCUCUGGUUGGUAGAAACUUAUCCUCAAUAUGCCCAUUGAUGACCACUAAAUAAGAAACAGUUGUUACACAUUUCAUAAGAGCAUCUACCCAAUUUUGAUCAAACCCCACCCGUAUCAUUAUCUUCUUUAUAAAAUUCCAUUCAACCCUAUCAUAUGCUUUACUCAUAUCGAGUUUAACGGCCAUAUACCCUUUUUUCCCCAAUUUCUUCUGUUUUAACAUAUGCAAUAUUUCAUAGGUUAAUAGCACAUUAUCUGAUAUUAAUCAACCUGGCACAAAGGCACUCUGCGCAUCAUCAAUAUAUUUUUCAAUAACUCUUCAAAAUCAAUUUGCUAUUGCCUUUUCCAGAAUUUUAUAAAGCACAUUGCAUAGGUUGAUCUGCCGAAACUACGUCAUAUUAGAAGGGCUGGUAACUUUUGGAAUAAGUACUAUAUUGGUAGAAUUAAUUGAACUAACCUCCAUAUCCCCAUUUUGAAUUCGUAAGCAAAAGGAGGUGAGUUCUUCUCUAACAAUAUGCCAACAUUUCUGAUAAAAUAAAGUUGAGAAUCCGUCUUCCCCUGAUGCCUUCGUAGGCUCCAUGUCGAAUACUGCUUCUGUAAUUUCAUCUCUUGUGUAUGUUGCUGUAAGUUUUUGGUUGUCUUCCGCAUAGACACAACACUCGAUCCCUGAUAACAGGUGGUCAUAGUUCCCCCUACCUUUUACCGAAAACAAUCUUUGAAAAUAAGAUCGUGCAACACCCUCUAUUUCUUGUAAGGCCACCAUUUCUCUUUUCUCUUCAUUUUGUAGCUUAUGAAUGAGAUUUGUCCCCAACCGUUAUGAUGUUUGACUGUGAAAAAUAUUUUGUUUUCAUCACCAAACAAUAAUAUUCAUCUUUUUCGAUCUCAAAUUUUAAAUUAAUUUUCGUAUCAAUCAACUCAGUUAAAUUCUCAUCAUCUCUUUCAGUUUCAGCCAACUCCGCUAAUUUUCCGUUAGGAUCUAUUUUUUCUUUUUCCUAUUUAUUUGAAUUUGCCCAACCCACUGCUUCAAGCCUUUUUUUAAAUUGUCCAGCUUCUGUAACCACUCCCCUGAAGCUUCCUCCUACGAACACUUAACUUCAUUAAUGAAAGACUCCUCUAAUGACCACCAAGCUUCAAAUUUGAAAUUAUUGUUCCUCGAUCAUUCUUCACACGUUCUUGUAUUAAUAAGAAGAGGGCAAUGAUCUGAAAACAAAUGCACUAAAUGUUGGACUUUCACAUCUAGAAACAUAUCAAUCCAUUCUGUGUUGGCGACACCUCUGUCUAAUCGUUCUUGUAUGUUCGUCUCCGGUAAAUUACCUCUCUCCCAAGUGAACUAGUUACCAUAAAAGCCCACGUCAUUCGGUUGACAUUCCUCUAGUAUUCUUCGUAAGAGUUUCAUCUUUUUUUCAUCUCUAAGCAGCCCUCAUUUGUUUUCGAAUCCAUAUAUAACUUCAUUGAAAUCUCCACAAACAAACCAAGGGGUAUCCACAUCAGUAGCUAAGCUUUUCAAAACAGCUCAUGAAUCGUUCCUAUCUUGCGCAUAUAGGGGAUCCAUAGAAUCUUAUAAAUCCCCAAUUGGUUCCUUCUUCCUUAUCUUCAAUUACCACAUUGUGUCUUUUAAAAAAAUUACGGAUCAUUAUAUUAACAUCAGUCAUCCAUGCUAGACACAAUCCUCCUCUCGUACCUUCUGAGUCAACUUCAAUACCAUUCGCAAAACCACAGCUUCUAUGAACUCGUUCCAUCUGUUGUCUACUAAGCUUUGUCUCCAUAAAGAAGACUAUUUGGGGAUUAUAUAUCUUCAGCAAAUGUCGAAGUCUUUCAAUCAUCCAUUGUCUCCCCAAACCACAGAUAUUCCAACUUAUGAUUUUCAUUGCCCCUAGUUGGCUUGCCUCUUGGCAGCCGCCGAUGAUAAAAUAUUAAAUUCCACCAUUCUUCUAUUCAUUGUCAUUGCAUUACCACUCUCUUCUUUUCCUGUUGGAUCUUCCAUCUCCCCCCUGUUUCACCUUUUCCCCUCCUCUCCUAUUAAGAUAUCAUCUUCCAAAUCAGGCUCUAUAGCCGUUUGCAUCUGAUUGGACCAAGAUUUCUCCUUCCGUUGAUCUAGAGAUGAUACCCCCUUCUAUGUUAAAACCCAGAAUUGGAUCAAUGGCUUUUCUGCUUCUUUCUUUCUUGUCCCAAUCCCAUGAUCUGAACCCCAAAACCCGAUUAUCCAUCCAACUUCCUUCCUAUUUUCCUUCACAUUCUUCUCAUAGCCAUAUACUAUUCAUUGAUAGGGCUCUUCGAAAUUGUGCUAGCAAUGAUAAAUCCUAACCCAUUUCAAAAAUAUUCACCCUUAACAUCAUUUUUGCCUUACAAAAAGAGUCACUGUGUCCCAAACGUCCACAAUAGAAAUAGAAAAGCGAUAAAUGUUCAUACUUAAAUUUAACAUAUGAGCAUAUCCCACAACACAUAACCUGCUUCUUUCUUUUCAAGGGCUUCCUAAUGUCAAUCUGUACCCUUACCCUCAUAUGAUUACGAUUUUUUUCUCCAGGUUUGAACCAUCGUACUCCAAGAAAACCCCUAUAAAAUUACCCAGUUGUAUUGUUAGAUUUUCAGAAAAUAGCCCUAUUAGGACGUCAUGAAUUUGUACUCAGAAAGGGGUAAAAAUUAAUGGUGCUUUUAGUGGAUCCUCUCCCCUUUUCAAUUUAUAAAGUAUCAACAAAUGAUUAUUGAAAGUCCAUGGUGAACCUUUCAAAACCCUCUCUAUAUCCAUACUAUGAAAAAACUGAAAAAGAUACAUUUUUUCCCCUAGAUCUCAGAAUUGGACCCCACGAACAGGAUGACACAGGUUUGCUAUAGUGCUUUUCAUAGCUGGGUAGUGAAUUAUACUGGCUGUUAAGAAACAUCCCAUAAGCUGAAAUUCUCCCACUUCUCUUUUCGUACUCGGAUAUACCUGAAUCUGCAAGAUUUUUUCUUCUUCUUCAUUGAGCGACAAUUGUGCUAAUUUAGUUUCCAUGAAUGCAGGUCUGAAGGCCAGAACACGAACACCACUCUUCAAAUCAUAGAAAUAAAAUAGCCUGAAGACGCCGACUGCAACUGAUAAACAAAAACAAAGACUAAAACAAGAAAAACCUAAAAACUCAUGCCAGAGGCGGCAGACAAUAGCGUGCUAGGGUAGCAGACUAUGAUCAAAGUAUAUUUUUUAUUUGAGGUCUAAUUUUAGAAUAGAGCCUUUACGUAUUAAAUAUAUGUUUAUUUUUAUUCUAUUAAGUUUGACAAUUUUUUUUAUAGAUAGAAUUUUAAUCCACUUAAUGUGAUAUAAAUUAAUGAUGUAUAAAAAUAAAAAUAGAAAUAAUGUAUUAUAAAAUUAAAAAAUAUUAAACUUGAAUCACGGGAGCUAAGUGAAAUGAUAAGGAUCUCUCCUAUCUUAAUCGACAAUUGAGAGUUUGAUUCUCGCAUUGAGUAUGGAACAGAUGCAGUUGCAAAACUCAUAAUCAACGUCUACUCUUUUAGUGAAUUUAUAAAAUAGAAGGAUCAAUCAUUAGAAUCACUUAAGUGGAUACCUUGAAAAACUAAAAAAGAAAAUAUUGUACUUGAACCUCCAAUGAUUUACCAAGGUUAGGCUCAUUUUUAAAAUGGGUCUAUCAUUUUUUUUUUCAAGUUGAUUUUUUUGUUAUAUUUUUGAUUAAAUUAAUUAUUUUAUUUUAUGUUAAACCAUAAAAUUAUAGAUGAAUUUUGAUUUAACAUGUAAUUUGCUGUGCAAAUUUUAAAAUCAUGUAUUCAUAUAUAUGAAACUUUUAUUUUUAUUCAAUUGUAUAUGUACAGCCCAAUUUUGGCCCAGGCCUAAACAAACCUUAACCCACCUAACCACUAAGCCAAACCCAUCAGACCCAAUUACAAAAGCCCAAAACCAACUAACCCUAGCCCACUAGCUAUCAAAAAUUUUCAGCAAGCAAACAAACCCUAAUCCCCCUCUUCAGCCACCGCUCUUCACCAGCAAGGCCACCACGCGCACCUCUUCGUCAGUCUCUGACAACCACCUGCAACACGCAAGCAAAAGACGGCAAAUAGAAUAAACAAAUAACAAAGAGACAAAAAAAUAGAAAGAAGAAGAUGGUAGUUUCGGCUAUAAAAGCCAUGACAUUUCAAUGUAUUUUUCCUUCUUCUUUUUUUGGAUACAAAAAUCAAUAAAAAAAAAACUAGAAAAGUUUAAAAGGUGAUAUUCGUUUGAUUUUCUGUUGAUUUUCUUUUUACUCUCAAGUUUUAUUUUGUUAUUUUAUUUUUCUUUUAUUUUUACCAUCGAAAAUAAAAAAGGAAAAAGAGAAAGGUAACCUCACCUUGAUCUUCCCACGGACUCAUCGCCGGAGAUCUCUUCUCCAAUCGCCGAAGUCGAGCCAAAGGGGGAGGGAGGACCUUUCUUUCGAUUUCUUUGGGGUUAAGAAGGCAUGGCCUUCGAGUGUGCCUCAAAACGAGGCUAAAAAGCCCAUCUCUGGGCUUUGCAGCCACCGGGUACGGUGGUGGUACGGCGGGCGGUGAGGAAGCCCGAUCGGCUGGAGCAAAAAGGGUGAAGUGAGGGCUUGUGAGGGUUUUGAAAAUUAAAAGAAAAGAGGAACCAGCAGAAUGAAAAAGAAGGAAUUUUUUUUGGUCUUUAAAUCAUUUGAAACGGUGCCGUUUGUUGGAGUGGGGGUUUGUGCAUUUUCCCUAAAUGAGAGAUUUCGCGAUUAGUCUUUCUCAUUUGCAACUCCAUUCGAUCAGGUCCCAUUUUCUGUUUUCUUUUGUUUUUUUAAUUUAGCUCUUAGAUUUCAUUUGGGUUACAUUCGGGUCCUUUGAAACAUUGCGCAUAGAGGGCUGGGAACAUUUUCCCAAUCAGUCCCUCGUUCUUUAUACGCGUUUCACUUCAGUCCUUAGUGGCCUGUUUUUUUUAUUUACAAUUUGCAUCUUAAAUUUUAAUUAAAUUUCAGCUUAGUCCUAAUCUAUUUAAUUUGUUCAUUUAUUUAUUAUUUCAACUUUUUAGGAGCUGUUUUACUGUUAGUUAUUUUAAGUUUGUUCAUCUUACAUUAUUUAUUUAGACCAUUUUAUUAUUAGUUAUUGUAAUCCUUUUUACGUCUUAUGUAUUGUAAAUUGUUAUAGAUUUUAAAUAUUUUUACAUAUAUUAUUUUUUUUAAUUCCUAUACAUAUUACUUAUUUUGAAAUAUUUUUUUACGUUAUUUGUUUUAUAUGUAUUUUCCAUUUUAAGUUUCUUUUCAUACUUUAUUUGGUUACACUAUUCUAAUCGUUUAAAAUUUAUUUUUUUAAUUUCCCAUAUAUUAUUUAUUUUAAUAUAUUCUUUACUUUAGAUUAUUUUAUAUAUGUUCUAUUCUAAAUUUUCAUGUAUAAUAUUUAAUUUAAACUGUUUUAUAUAUUUUGUUUAUUUAUUAUUUAUAUAUAUAUAUUUUAUUUUAAACAAUUUAUAUAUAUUAUUUAUUUUAGGUUUUUUUUUUUACAUAUUAGUUCUUUUAAACUAUUUUAUGCAUUAUUUAUUUUAAAAUCGUUUUGUAAUAUUCAUUUCAAAUUGUUUUAUUAUACAUUGUUUUAAGUUAUUUUAUACUUUUAUUUUAAGUUUUUCGCAUCAGUUAUUUUAAACUCCUUUACAUAUUAUUUAUUUUAAAUAUUUUUAUAUGUUAUUUACUUUAAACUAUUUUUUUAUAUGUGAUCUAUUUUUUUAUACCAUUUUAUAUGUAAACUACUUUCAAAUACUUUUUAUUAUUCAUUAUAAACCUUUUUAUUAUUAUGUAUUUUAAGAUUUCAUGUAUUAUUUAUAUUAAACUAUUUUAUGCACUUUUUUCAUAUACUGUUUGUUGUAAAUUUAUCUUAUUUUAAAGCCUUUUAUAUGUUAGUUUGAUUUGUUUUAUCUUAAGUUGCUCUAGGUAUUAUUUUAUUGUUUUGAAUAUUAAUGAUUUUUAAAUUGUUUUAUAUUAUUUAUUUUAAAUUGCUUUUAUAGUAUCUAUUCUAAACCUUUAAAUAUAUACAUAUAUAUAUAUAUACAUAUUAUGUAUUUAAAAUAUUCUUAUUAUUUGUUUUAAGUUGUUUUAUAUUAUGAUUUCAUUUUUAUGUUUAUUAAUGUUGAUAUUAAAAAUAAUGUACGUCGUGUGAAUAUUGCCAUUACAUGUUAUUGAAAUUAUUUAUUUAACAUCCUCAUAUUGUUGACAUUCAUUAACUUUGCAUUUGAUUCGCGUUUUAUUAUUCCAUGCUCUAUGUUAUAUUUUUGUUUUUUUUCAUUUAAAUAGCAUCGUGUAUAAAGUUCGAACGUAUUCAUCCAAUAUAGAUCGUUUCGUUUUUAGUUCAAACAAAAUAAUGCACAUUGUUAAAUGCCAUGCUCGUUAUUAUUCAAACGAAAAAUCUUCAAAAUAAGGCAAUAUUUUGCAUUUUGGGAAUUCGAGAAAUCAUACCCUAACUUACGGGGUUUCGAUUUUCUCGUUAAACCUAAAUGGCCAAAUAUCCUUUUAAAUUCCAGAACACAUGAAAUUUCAAUUAAAAUUAAAGACAAACUUGCGCUCGGGAAUUCAAAGUAUCACGUCCUAACUUACGGGAUGUGAUACUCCUAUAUCUCGAGAUAAGGAAAUCUUUAGCAAUCAUUUUGAUCUAAUUCAGUUUUUUUUUAAAAUCGACGUUAAUAAAAAAGGGGAUCGUAUUUUAAAUCCAUGCUUGAUUUUUCAACUUUCGACAUUAAGACACUAACUAAUCAAUUCGGUACCAAUUUUGGGUGUGACGAGGGUGCUAAUCCUUCCUCUCACGUAACCGACUCCCGAACCCGUUCUCUCGAGUUUCGUAGACCAAAAAACAUCGUUUUAGUAAACCAAAGCGUUUUAUUAAAACAAAGGUGAUCUGAUCACACCCAAUAAAGAUCGGAGGCGACUCCCAUUUUAAUUAUCACUUUCUAACAAAGUCGAUUCCCCUUUUCAAAAAAAAUGAUUUCGGCAGUAUACAUAAGAAAUAAAAACAUCUAUUUGUUUUAUAUUGGAUAAAUAAAAUUAUUUAUGCAUACAAAAUAUGUAAGCCAAAAUUGUGUUGUAUCGAUAAUUAUGUUAGUAAUUGUGAAAACUGAAUUAAACCAAAACUUUCAAGUAUAAAAUUGAACAAAAUCAAAGUUAAUAUAUAACAUUGUACACUGAAUCAAAAUUCAUAUGUAAUUUUGAGAUUUAUUAUUUUGUUUUAUUUUAUUUAAACUUUAGGCUUUGUUUAAUUUCAGAAAACAGAGGUCAUUUUCAUUUACAUUUUUUUGAAAAAUGAAAAAUUCAAGAAAACAUGUUUGGUUACAAAAUUUUAAAAUGAUUUUUGAAAAAUAAAAAUAAUAUGUAAAAAAAUAAAAAAAAACAAAAAAAACUAUUUUAAUUGUUUUUACUAAAAAUACUUUGCAAAACUAAAAGUGAUGACAAUAAAAAAUUUUAACUUUAAAUACAUUAGUUUUUUUAAAUUUUCAAUAUGGUACUCGUAAAUAUAAUUUUUGUACCAAACAUGUUUUCAAUAACAAUUUUUCUUUUUACUUACCAAACAUUAUUUUUUUAAUUUUAAAGAAUAAAAAAUGAAAACUAUAAUAUUUUUUUGUAAAAGUUAUAAAUUAGACAAAAGAUUUUAUCACAUGCUAUAUGUGUGGAAACCAAUGUGUUUGAAAAUAACAUGUUUUUAAACUAAUUAAUAAUACACCACGUAUUUAGAACACAGAGUGUUUGAAAAUAAUAUCUUUUGAAAUUAAUUAAUAAUAAAAAGUAUAAAAAAUAACAAAAUAAAGCUUUGAUUGAACGAUACAUUUAAAGUUUUACUAAUUUAAAUGGUGCGAGUUCAAAUAUUAUAUUUUUAUUUUUUAAAAUAAUUUUUUUUUUAAAAUACUCUUAAAUAAUAUAAAAUUACAUUAAAAUAAUUUCCGUAACUAAGUUGAGAUCUGAUGGGUGACACUAACUCAGCGAAAAGUGUAGAUUACACUUUACAUUACCCCUUGUCAAAUAAAUAAAUUAUCCAUUUAAAGCAUUUUCUUUCCGGUCAAAGUUUUGAAUAUUUUAUAAUAAAUUUUUAUAAUUACAAAUAAAUUUUAUAUAAUGUUUAUAAUUUAUUUACAUUAAAUAAUAUAUAAUUUUUCUUUACCAACUAAUUUAUGUAAUGUUUUUAUUUGGUUAUAUAAUUUCAUUAAUUAGAUUUUUUAUAUAAAGUAAUCAGUGUCAAUGCAUGUGUUCUAAAUAAAUCCUAAUUCCUCGUCUCAUUAACUAAUAAAAUAAAUAAAAUUAAUAAACCUAAUUAAAAAAUCAAUUAUAGUUUUUUUUUCUUUUUUGGAUUUUCCCCUCCCGUUAGAUUAAAAAUUAAUUAUAAUUUUCUUUUUCUUUUACCCUUCCGUUAUUAAAUCUAAUUAAAAAUUAUUACAAUAUUCUUUUUGUUAUUUACUGUGUAGGAUAGAAAGAGUUACUCAGAUUUUACCUAAUUAUUUCUGGAGGAGGCUAAGGUUAUAUUGGAAAUUUCAAUUUGUUUAUAUGGUUGUUGAUUGCUUCAAAAAGAUUAAUGUUGUUGCCUCCAUUUUCAAUCCACUUUUUGUUGUUAUAAUCCUAGCCUUCGGCUUUGUUCUCCAUUGCCCUGCUGUUGUUAAAAACUUCCUCAAUUUGCCUUCAAAUAUUCUGCCAACCUCACCUUCUACAUAUUCAAUAUUCAUUAAUGGUGGUCUACUUAUUUUGCACUUGGUGAAUUUGGAUUAAAUGAAUUUAAAAGAGGAAUAAUCUCUAAGUUAUUAAAUUUAAAAUUAUAAUAUUAAUUAAGUGUUUAAGGUAUUAAAUUGAUAAAAAAGAGAGAGGAAUAAAAGUUGACCUUGCUGGGAAGUAUGGGUAAUUGAUAAGUGCUCAUAAAUUUUUAUUAUUAUAAAGUUUAUUUAAAUUAGUAAAAUAGUUAAAUUAUGAAAUGAUUUAGAGUCAAUUUAGUAUUACUUCUUAAAAGUAUUUUUGGGUUAAGAAACACUUUUGAGCAAAAGUUAAAAUUUUAUAUUUCUUUUAGUAAAAAAAAAGUGCUUUGGCAAAACAUAUUUUUGCCCAGAAACACUUUUGAAAAGUACAAAAACAUUUUAUUUAACAAUGUUUUUAUUUCAAAAGUGUUUCUAACAAGUAAUACUAAACUGGCCAUUAAUGUAUAAAAAUGAAUCAAUGAUAUAUAAGUAUGUCAUUUGUAUGACUUAGUCAAUUACACAACACUUGCAAUUUGUGUCAAAUAAUGACUUAGUCAAUUAGUGUUUCUUUAACCCUUCGAAUGCAUCAUUUUCUCACCUCCUCAAUGGCUUAUUACACCUCUCAAAACCAUAUACUUUACCUAACAAAAAUCAAAUAUGUCACAAGAAAUGUCACUGUAUAACUUCCCUAUCAAUUAAGAGGGAGCAAUUGUUACACCUCGCUGUGAUCGCCCAAAAAACUAAGUCUAUAAAUAGUAUAAAAGGACCCUUCGUAAGAGUCCUUUAGAUUACAACUUGCUUGAUAAGCGAACCCACUUAUUAACUGCCACAUUAUAUCUCAACUACCACAUCUUAUAUGAGAUGACCCAAGGCACAUCAUAAUACCAUUCUGCCUAAGUUUAUAGCCCUGAGCCUCUCUCCUUUGAUUCGCCAAUAAAAACUUGACACUUGGCACCUUGAGACAAAAAAUGCCAAGUAUAUAAGGCUUAGGGCCUAAGGAUGAGAGACAAGUUAUAUCCAUCUCAUUUUCUCCCAACUUACCUCUAGUUUCUUCCCCUCCUCCUUCCCUCCUACUUUGACCAUACCAUUUGGCAACUCUUUGCCUAGUCCCAAAAGGGUGAACCACCCAUCUAUCAACACAAUCCAUAAAGGUUAUUUCUUUUAGGGUUCAUGGUUUCCCUUUCCAACGGUGUCUUCUCUAAAGUUCGAAUCUUUAUUCUCUCUUUAUAAAUACAGUGCGUCUUACUAUUACACUCAAAACUUAUUAAUGGUUCCUUCAUAUUAUAUUAUAAAUCACAUUUUAAUUAUUUUUCAUAUAAUAAAAUCAUAUACUACAUAUAAAAGGAAAGCCCUAAUGGUCUUCUUUUGUUGACAUGUGUAAAACCAAUUGUGCACAUUUUUUACAUUAUAAAAAUGGUUAGAUUUCAAUUUUGAUCCUUCUAUUAUGGUUAAAUUUGAUAUUUUAUCUCUAAACUUUAGUUUCUAAUAUAAUUCGGUCUUUGUAAUUUUAUAAUAUUAUUAGUUAGUCUAAAUUAGAGGUGUUCAUGGGCCGGGCCGAGUCGGGUUCGGGCCGGACUCAACUAAAAAAUCAUGCCCAUUUAUUGGGCCCGGGCAGGGCCGGGAAAAAAAAAGCCUAAAUUUUUUUCUCAAGCCCGACUCGGAUAAAAAUACUAAAACUCAAGCCCGGCCCGCCUCGCCUGUAUUAAUUUUUUUAUAUUAUUUUUAUAUUUUUUAAAAUAUAUAUAAUACAUCAAAAAUACUAAAAACAUCAAAAUAAAUAUUUCCCAACAAAUUAAAAAUAAAUUUUAAAAAAUAUGUAGACUUAAAUAACACUAAGAUAGAUGUAACUUAACAAGCAAAUACCUCUAAAAUAAUUAAAAAAUUAACAAAUGCCUUUAAAAUAAUAAAAAAAAUAAAAAUAAAAUAAGUUUUAUACAAUAUCCAAACAAUAACAACAAAAUAGUAGCAAUAUAAUAGUAAAAUUGUAGCAAAAUAGGGAGAAAACAACAAGAAAAUAACAUUCAAAAAUAAAAAAGAAUACAGAUUUUUUUAUCCUUCAGUGAAUUCGGGCUGGGCUCGGGCUAAAAAUACCUUACCCUAGGACCGAACCAUUUUUUAAACGGGCCUUAUUUUUUGUCCAAGCCCAUUUUUCGACCCUAUAUUUUUGUCCAAACCCUCCCACAUUUUGAGAGGGCCUUCGAGUUGGGCCGGGCUAUAGUCUAAAUAGUUAACAUCAAUAACUUUUCAAUUAAAAUGUUGUUGAAUUAUAUAUAACUUAAAUGUUGUAAGGUUCUUAGAUAUUGACACGCAGUUUCUCAUUUAUUUUGUGUUUGUCUUUUUUUUUUACAUUAUAAGACAAUGUUCAAAUUUCAGCUUGACCUAUAUAUUAUAUUGAAUUUGAGAUUUAAUAUAUAUACUUCAAUUUUUGGCAUAAUUUGGUUCUUCUAUUUUCAUAAUGUUAUUAGUUAAUCUAAAUAGUUAAUGUUGUUAACUAUUUUCAAUCCAAAUGCUAAUGUUAAUUUUUCUUAAGAGCACUAAUCCAAUAAAAAUAUUUUUGAAUGGUAAAAAAUCCACUUCAACAUUUCAAGGUUAUUUUUUUGUUACAUGAUUAUUAAGUAAAUAUUUUUUUAAAAUUUUUAAAUGUCACACUAAUAAAUUUAAUAAAACAAUUUAACUAUAGUAACAAUUGGAUCUGAAUUUUUAAUUUUAAAAAGUAAAGAAAUUAAAUAGUUGAAAAUAGAAAUAGUGUAAUGCCCCUUACCCGUAUUCGAUGCCAGAACAGGGUACAAUGUAUUACCGGACUUAAACACAAACAAACAUAUAUUUCCAAGUCAUAAAUUUUCGUCCAAAUUAAAACCAUUCAUAUACAAUCACAAUGUCUCUAAUACGAGCCUACGAGGCCUAAAACAUACUUUGGAAGUUGUUCAGGACUAAACCAAGAACUUUGGAAAAUUUCAUAAAACUUAGAAAUCUUUUUUGCCCUAAACAGAAGGAACAACUCGAUUUUUGGGUCUAGUUGAAACAGUAGUUUCGGGGACACAAAUUCGCCCCAGAAAAAUUUAUUUUUCUUAUAUUUUUAUGGUCUAAAGUUUUAUGGAAUGAUUCUAUGAAAAUUUCGUUCGAAAAUUUUGACGUUUGAGCACUCAAUUUAGUAAAAAGGACUAAUUUGCAAAAAGUACAAAACUUGAGUUCUACAAGCUAGAGGUGUCGAAUUGCUAUGAAAUUUUAAAUUAGAGGUCCUUAGAUGAUAAUUAUACCAAUACUUAAGUUAGUGGACAAAAAUGGACAUGAAGUAAGAGAAAUUUUAGUGUUUUAAGAAAAAAGCAUUUUGGUCAAUUGGUAAUUAAAUGAAAUAAUAAGCAAAUUAAAAGCCAAUUUUUGCUUAUCUUCUACCCCUUGGCUGAAAUUUACAAGAGGAAGACAUAGAUAGGGUUUUUCAAGCUUCCAAGCUCGAUUGUAAGUCCGUUCUAGCCCCGUUUUUAAUGCUCUUUACAUUUUUGAAGUCAUUGUAACUCGAUCUACCUAUUUCUAGCACUAAUUUGAGGUAUGAUUAAGGUAUAGGGUUUGAAACAUGUUAUACAUGUGUGUAUUUUGAUGGCUAAUAGUAGAAAAUGCAUGUUUGAUGUUAGAAAAAUAACUUUUGCUAAGUGAUUUUCGGUAAAAUGUCAAAAAGGACUUAUUUGUAAAAGUUAUAAAAUAAGUAGUAAAAGUGUGAUUAAGUGGAAAAUGUGAGCUGGUAUAAGCAUGUAUAUGGUUCGGCUAGGCUUGGGUAAUGAAGAAAUUGGAUGAAAAUCAUUUUACGAGCCUAAGGACUAAAUUGUAAAAAUGUGAAAUAUUAGGGGCAAAAAUAUAAUUUUUAUAUAAUAUGAUUUUUGGACUGAAUUGAACAAUGUGUGUAUUAAAUAAGUUAAUUUUUUUAUUAUAGAUCAAGAAAAAUGAGGUUCGGACUUAGACCGGGGGAAAAACAAAGCGUUUGACGAUUAGGUCAAAUUUCAGUAUUUUUGUACCGAGGUAAGUUCGUAUGUAAAGAAUACAUUGUAAUAUUUAUGUUUUAAAUGCUUUAAUAUUGUAUGAAUUGUGAUUGACUCUUUGAACGUAUUCGAUAAAGUUUCGACAAACGAGAAUUCCCGGUUGAACUUUAGGAAUAGAAUAGGAUACGGGUGACAUGUCACUGGGAACCCAUGUGUUUAUGUGAUCCGGGUGCUGGCCUAGCAUGUCCUACCAGUGGCUGGGUAGUUUGGCAUGAGUUGCGGAUACCUGACAGCUUAUGUGAGCAUCACUGUGUAGCUACGUCCUGACUAAUAGCUUGUGUGAACAGGCCCGUGAGUAGCUCGAAAACGAGUCUAUAUGUACUAUGAGAUAUGUAGUAGGUUUGGCUACAUAUGUGGCAUUUAUGUGCAAGAUUUUCGAGUAUAUGUUAAUAUUCCGAGUGUUCAACGGGAAUGUCAAAGUUGUGAAAGGCCAUGGUAUGUUACGAGUUGGUACAAGUAUGUACGUAAAACUCAUACGUAAUGAGCUCGAUAUGUGAUGAACCCUUGGUAAGGUUGUGAUUGAGUAAGUUAUGACUAUAAGAUCUUAAUAAUAUUCAUGCCAAUUUUCAUUAUGAUAAUUGUAUGUUAAAUGUGUGGUUAUGAUGCUUAUUAUUUACAUAGGAACUUACUAAGCUAUAAAGUUUGCUCCCCUUUUCUUUCCCUUGUCUUAUAUUGUCACCAAGCUAGCUCGAGGAUCAGAAACCGUCGGAGAUCCACUGACACUAUCAUCAAUUAUUUUGGUACCAAUGAAUUCAACAUUUUGAGUUAUGCAUGUAUAGGGGACUUGGUUAUUUUGUUAUGUGUCAUAAUUGUUUUGGCCAAAUGUGUUGGCUAUUAUUGGUUGAAAGUUCAUUUUGUAUAAGGCCAUUUGAAAUUAGCUACUAUUGGUAUAAGUAAUUUAUAUUUCAUGGAUGAGGGAGUUUACAUGAUUUGAGUUCAUAAUUAUGUGAUGUUUUUGUAUGAUAGAUGGUAGCUUGUGAAUGAUGUGUUGAUGUCUUGGUUGUGGCUGAAUUUGGUUGUAUAUAAAUGUUGGGAUUGGUGCUAUGUUGUGUUGUGUAGGUGUGAACAACAAAGGGUGGCAAAAUGGCUUGGUAAAUAGCCUUAUUUUUGUCCACACGAGUAGGCACACGAGCGUGUGUCUAGGCCAUGUGUGACACACGGCUUGCCCUACGAGCAUAUGCUUAGGUCGUGUGUCCCCUGCACCCUAAUUUUUGCAAAACAGAAUGCUCAGAAUUGAGUACACGGGUAGAGACACGGGCGUGUGUCUCUUUCGUGUGGACGACACAGCCUCAGUCACGGGUGUGUGUCCUUGGCGUGUAAAGUCUGCACCUAUUUUAUGAAAAAUCAUAAAUUUUAAUUCGACCACACAGCCUAGCACACGGGCAUGUGACUUGGCUGUGUGUUUUCAAUUUGUUCUUGGGUGACAAACAGUGAGUUACACGAGUUCGGGACAUAAGCGUGUGUGACCGCACGGCCUACCCGCACAGGCGUGUCUCAAAUCCACUCUAUUAUUUCAAAGGUACUCUAUUAUUUUUAAUUUAAUAAGACUUAAAUCAUAUUUCAACUUUUAAAUCUAUACUCUAUUAUUUGAUACAAACAAAUAACGAAGUGCGAAACCAUUAUAGUUAUAUUUAAAAGGUAUAAUGAUUUAUUUGGCCUUCUAAUUUUGUUAAAUUCAGAUUUGUCAUGUCAUUUUUUUUAGUUACAAUGUUACCCAGCGAUUUCUUUUUUAAUUUCAAAAUAUCAUACCACUAAAUUUAACAAAAAAAUUUAUAGUGUUAACAAUUGAAAAGCUUUUAUCUCAAAAUAGUUUUAUACCCUUUUUAAAAUCUAUUUAUAAUCUCUCUUUAAUUUUUAAAUAAAAGAAAAAAAGUAUAUUUCAACACACUCAAAUGCAUGUUAUGCAUAGUACUACAUUUUAACUUGCUUGAUAAGUGAACCCACUUAUUAACUGCCACAUUAGAUCUCAACUACCACAUCUUCUAUGAGAUGACCCAAGGCACAUCAUAGUACCAUUCAACGUAAGAUUAUAGCCCCAGGCCUCUAUCCCUUGACUCACCAAUAAAAACCUGACACCUAACACCUUGAGAUAAGAGACGCAGAGUAUAUAAGGCUUAGGGGCUAAGGAUGAGAGACCAGCUAUCUCCAUCUCAUUUUCUCCCAACCUACCUCAAGUCUCUUCCUAUCCUCAUUCCCUCAUACUUUGACCAUACUUGUAACACCUAUAAUUCGUAUCCGUCGCUGGAAUAGGGUUACGAUAUAACACCCUUUAACCUUAAAUCGUGUCGAGACAGGGUUACGGAGCAUUACCAGACCUAUCGGACAAUUUACAAUUAAAAUACACAAAAUUACCAAACAUAGCAUAAAAUACCUAUAUUUAACCAAUCCAAACACAUUUAAAUAUACUCAAAACUUGACAAAUUUAGACAUUUUAUAUAUCAUCCAAUACUCAAUUCUAUUCACUUAUCAUAUAUGAUCAAAUAGUUCAGAUUCAUACUUAUUACCCUAAUUCUACCAUAUACCAUUGCCAAGCUUAAUUCUACUUAUUUCAUUAAUACAUUAACAAUCCAAAAUGACACACACGUAAAACAUCCUAGGCACAUGCCAUUACCAACUAUUAACACGUUUUACCUCAUUGAAUUCGGGAUCAGCCUGGGAUGCUAAUUCAACGUUCUAGCUUUCAUUUAACCUGCACACGGAAACAAACCAUACGCUGAGUAUGAACUCAGUGGUAUUUCUAUAAUCCAAACAUUAAAUAAUAAAACAUACACUUAAUAUCAUUUAAUGAUCAUAAAUAUUCAUUUAUUCAUUUCAUGGAUAAAUUCUUUACAACUCAUUCAAUCUUUAUCAUCUAUUAACCCAAUUAGCUUUUCAAAUAAAUUCACAAUCAUUUAAAUAAUAAUAUUUUCCAUUCAUAUGUCUCACUUAUACUUCUGUUCACUAUUCAAUAUCAGUAAAUAAUUUUCAGUAUUGAUCAAUUUAUCAGUUUCGUUCAGUAACAUUCAAUCAUUCAAUAACAAUUAGUCGUUUAAUAAGAUUCAGUCACUCUUUAAUAGUCAGUUAUUCAGUAACGAUAAAUUAUUCAGUAACAGUCAAUUAUUCAAUAGCAGUCAGUUAUCCAGUAACAGUCAGUUAUUUAAUAGCAGUCAGUUAUUCAGUACCUUUAUUUACCCCUAUUAACAUGACUCGAACUCGGACGGAUAUAGGGAUCCAACCCACACACCGGGAUAGCAUACAGUGUUUCAUUGGCCGGAGCCUGAAUACACUGUAACGGUAACAGUAAUAGUAACAGUAGCGAUACACAGAGUACCUCAUCGGAACAAAUCCGGAACAGUAACAGUAACAUUAAGGUACGGAGUACCUCUUCGAAACGAAUCCGGAAUAGUAACAGUAAGGAGACACUUAUAGUGUCUCAUCGACACAAAGUCGGAAUAUCCCUAAACACUUCCAAUCCUAUAGCAUGCCAACUAUAUCCGACUUACCCUGAUACUGUUAAUAGGAUUUCUAAUUCAUUUUCCAAUUUCCAAUCAUUACACAUCUCAACAAUCAUAUAUAUUCAUAAUUCAAUAUAAUUCAUUUCACUUUUUCAAUAACAAAUAUUCAAUUCUCACAAUAAUCACAUAUAUCCAUAUAAAUUCAAUAAAUUUAACACAUAUCUAAUCAAUUCAUUUCAAUUAUAAAACACAAUAUUUCUCACCUCAAUUACUAUCAUAAUAUUCAAUCAAAAUUCAACAAUUAAAAAAUAAUUUCACUUUUCAAUUCUAACCGAUAUCUAUUCUAAUUCAAAUAUUCAUCUCAAAGCACUUUCUAUACAUAUUAAGUAAUAAAUUCAAUAAUUAAAUAUUAAGUUCAGAUUAUAGAAAUAUAAACCGUAAUUUUCGAGCUAACCCUCGUCGACUUUGCCUUUUUCUUGCUUAGCCGAGAUUUCCGGCACAAUGUUAGCUACAAAAAUUAAAACAAUUAAAAAGUCAUCAAUAUACAAUUUCAUUUUAUUCAUUCCAAUUUCAACUCAAUAUUUACAUAACUUCUAAUUUAAUCUCAAUUCAAACUAACUUGUUUUCUUUACAAUUUAUUCUCUAUUUUUCAUUCAACUAUUAUUUAAAAUCAAAUUUCAACUCUCUAAUUUCACCAUAAAACCAUAAUUUUGAAUUUUCUUUAAUUUAUUCCCUAAAGCAUAAAACUUAUGAAUUACUUUACAAUUCAAUUCUUAUUUCGCUUCUAACUUAAAAUUCUAUCAAUUUAAUCCCUAAUUCAAUCAUUUUAUUCAACAUGAACCAUAUUUGAAAACCUAUGAACUUUCAAAAUAUCAAUUUAAUUUCAUCAAAACCUUAUUCCAAAACUUCUAAAACGUCAAAAUUAAGUAAAAACGACUAAAUUGACUUACUUAUUAAACUUUCAAACCUUCAAACCCUAAUUCUCCCUUUUUCUUUUCUUUCUCAUUUCUUUCUUUCCUUCCCCUGCUUUUCGUUUGUCUAUUCUGUUUCUUUUCUUUGUUUCAUUUCUUUUUCUUUCUUUAUUAAAAUAUCUAUAUUAAAAAUCUAUUUAAUAACAAAUAUUUAUUUAAUACUUGUAUGCAUAUCUAUUAUUACACUUGUACCAAAUCAUUUUUAUACACUUGUCUUUCUUUUAUUUAUUUUAUUUAUUUCAUAUAAAAAUCUAUUUACUUAAAUAAAAAGUAAUUAAAUAAAAUAUAUUACAAUUGUACAAAUAUAUGUAUUAUACUUGUAUAUUUUAUUUACCAUACAUUUAUCUUUAUUUAAUUUAUUUCAUAAUUUAAUAUCAAUUUAAUAAUAACAAUAACAUUAAUAUUUACUUAAAUAAUAAGUAAAUACAUACAUAUAUUACAAAUGUAUGUAUAAUAUUUAUUACACAUAUAUUUUAUUUUUUUAUCACACACUUGUCACAAUUUAAUUUAUUUAUCAUAUAAAUAUAUUAUAAUAUAAUUAUAAUAAAUUAAUUUAAUAUCAUUUAUUACUAAUAAAUAUAUAUAUUUUAUAAUUAAAAUCUAAGUAAAAAUCUUAGAUUUUUACUUUAUAUGCCGCCUCACUUAUGCUAAAUGGCAUAAUGACGAUUUUGGUCCUUUUUAUUUUCUUUUAAUCUAUAAUUAAAAUUUCACACUUCAUUCAAUUUAAUCCUUUUAUCCAAUUAUCCUUAAUUAAGCUAAAUGCACUUAAUUACACUUUAAUUAACCAUUCAAUUAACUUUUUAAAUAUUUUUGAUGAAUAUUGACGGGUCUAUUUUUCAGUAACGAAGACUCGAAAAUACACUUUUCCGAUAACCGUAAAAUUCGGGUCAUUACUGACGAAGCAUUACCAGACUUAUUUCAUAAAUAAUCAUACAUUUCACAUACAUUUUUCAUUUCCAAAUAUAAAUCAUUCAUAAUCAAUCACAUUGUCCCUAAUACGAGCCUAUGAGACCCAAAUCAUGCCUUAGAAGUGGUUUGGGACUAAACCGAUAACUCAAGAAAUUUUUGGGAAAACAUAGAAAAUUUUACAAAAUACAGGGGACACACGCCCGUGUGUCUAACAGGCUAAAAAGACACACCCAUGUCAUAAACCGUGUAGACAUUCAAAAUGGGAUCACAUGGCUUUUUCCCAGCCCGUGUCCGACCCUGUGUAACUCCCUAAAUUGGGUUACACAGCCAACCACACGCUCUUGUGACUAGCGUGUGUGCCAUUCAAAAUGGCCUUACACGCCCGUGUGCCAGACCGUGUGUUAGGCCGUGCCAAACCUGUAGGGUAUACUGACUUAUGCCACACGGCCAAGUCACACGCCCUUGCACUGGGCUGUGUGGAGCAUACUGACUUGGUUUCUAAUUCAACACCAGGGAACACAUGUCAGUGUCACCUGACCGUGUGUCACACACGGCUGAGACACACGCUCGUGUCUCUGCCCAUGUGGACAAAAAUAGGCUAUGCACAAAGCCAUCUUGCUCACCCAAAUUUGCAUUCACCUACACAAUUCAAAUGGCAUAGACCAUGACAUAAAUAGGCAUUCAAACUAAUCUCAAACAAGUCUAAUUAAUGCCAAUUCCAUACCAACAACCACAAGACACUCAACUAUCACAGUAAGCCAUUCAAUUCAUACCAAUUUCACAUUCUCAAAUCACCUAAAUAGUCACUUUCAAUUAUGCAUCACUUCACCUAAAACUUCAAGCAUACCAAUCUCAAAUUUCAACCAUUUGGUACUCUAAAUACCAACUCACAAUAAACAAUCAUAUAACAAUUAUACACAACUUAUCAAAGGGCCAUUUGCACAUACAUAUACAUCAUCAAACAUGCCAAAAUAAGCCAAAUUACAUGGUUAUACAGAUAACCAAGCAUUCAUCAUUUACAAGCCAAAUCAAAUGGCUAAAUCCAUUACCAUACUGUAAAUCGUAAUGACCAUAAUUGCUAUGCAUGCCAUAUAACCAAAAUCACAAUUUCAAAAGUACCAAAAUGAAAGCUUGAUAGUGUGAUAAGAUCUCCGAAGACUCCCAAAUCUGAACAAGCUUCGAUAAUCACUAUAAAACACGGAAAAGUAAACAAAGUAAGUUAUAAAGCUUAGUAAGUUCGUAUAGUAAUAAAUUCAACUUACCAUAUAUACACAAUUUAAGAAAUUAAACAUAUCAAAAUAUAACUCAUAUUGAUCCACAAACCUAUCACAUAUUCAUUCACAAUGUUAGAUAUCAAAUUCACAAAUUUCUUUGAUUCAAUGCUUGUAUGUUUCAUGUACAUACCUGUAUCAACUCAUGUCAAUUUCAUACUCAUUCAUAUCCUCGAUAUACCCAUUGAACCAUUUGGAAUAAUAUCGGAUACUCGAGAAUCUUGCACCUUAAGUGCCAAUACAUAGCUAAAGCUAUCUCAAUUGUAUAUCUCAUAUAAUGUUCACUCUCGAGCUAUCAACGGGUCUACUCAUACAAGCUGACGGUCAAGAUGUAACUAUACGGUGCUGCUCACACAAGUUGACGAGAAUCUGCAACACAUGCCAGAUAACUCAGCCACUGGUAGGACGUACGAGCCAACACCCAAAACACAUAACCCCUAAUGACAUGUCAUUUGUAUCCUAAUCUAUUCUUAAGGUUCAACCGGGAUUUUCACAUUGUUGAAUCUUCGUCGAACAUAUCCGUAAGGUAGUAUUCACAAUUAAUUCAAUAAUAAAGCAUUUAAAACACAAUUAUAUUAAUGUUUAUUAACAUACGAACUUACCUCGAUCGCAAAAACAACAAAAUGGAUCAAUUAGUCCAAUAAUUUAUUUUUCCCCCGAUCUAGAUCUGAACUUCAUUUUUCUUGAUCUAUAUAAUAUCAAAUUUAACUUAUUCAAUUAUCAAUCUAUUCAAUUUAUCCCAAAAAUCACAUUAUGGAAAAAUUUCACUUUUUCCCCUAAUAUUUGAACAUCUUUACAAAUUAGUCCUUAUCUCAUAAAAAUACAAAUUCAUGCAAUUAGGUCCCUAAAUGCUAGCUGAAUUUCCCUUAUUAUCAUAGCAGUCCAUAUUUUUCAUUAAUUUACACAUUUGUUACAUAAUUUCCAUUUUUCACAAAUAAACCUCUAAUUUGCAAUUUCACCCAAAAUCACUUAACAAAUGUUGUUUAUCUAACAAUAACCAUUCAUUUUCUAUCAUCAAACAUCAAAAUACACAUAUGUUCAUCAAUGGAAAAACCUUAAACUUUUAACAAUUUUACAAAAUAGUCCCUGGGCUAGCAGAUUAAGUUACAACGAUUCCGUAAACAUAGAAAUCAUUCAAAACCAAGUCAAAAUCACUUACAUGCAAGCUAGAGAUUGAGCCGAAUGUUUCAAAGCCCUAAAUGUGUUCUUCCUUUUUCAAAUUUCGGCUAGGAAGAAGAUGAAUGAAAUAAAAUGGCAUUUUGUUUUAUUAAUUUAUCAAUUAAUUACAUAUUUAAUUAAUUAACCUUUAUAAUUAAUUUAAAUUACAAAAUUGCCAAGCCAUAAUCAUCUACUAACAUAUUAAUGGGCUAUUUACCAUGUAAGGACCUCCACUUUAAGGUUCUAUUAGACACCUUUAGCUAAUAGAACUUAAGUUUUCCACUUUACGCGAUUUUGUCCUUUUUAUCAAAUUGAACACUCAAACAAUAAAAUUUCUUAAUGAAAUUUGUACACAAUCAUACUAACAUACUAUAGACAUUAAAAUAAUAAUAAAAUAAUUAUUUGGACCUCAGAUUUGUGGUCCCAAAACUACUGUUCCGAUCUAACUAAAAACAAGUUGUUACAACUUUCCCCUCUUAGGAAUUUUCGUCCCUGAAAAUCUUACCAGAAAAUAGGUUAGGGUACUGUUUUCUCAUAGCUUCCUCGAGUUCCCAUGUAGCUUCUUCAACGCCGUUCUGUUGCCAUAAAACCUUCACUAAAGCUACAUUUUUAUUUCACAAUUCUUUAAUCUCUCGAGCCAGAAUUCUGAUAAGUUCUUCGCCGUACGUCAUAUCAGGUUGAGUUUCAAUCUCUGUCGGAGAAAUGAUAUGCGAUAGAUCUGAUCGAUACCAUCGUAACAUCGACACAUGAAAUACACUGUGGUUAUUUUCUAAUUCUGAGGGUAAAGCUAGUUGAUAUGCCCUAUUUUCUCAAUAAUCUCAUACGACCCGAUAAAUCGUGGACUCAAUUUUCCUUUGCGACCAAAACGAAGAAUCUUCUUCCACAGAGAUACUUUCAAAAAUACCCUAUAGCCGAUUUGAAAUUCAAUUUUUUGCAUUUCAAAUCCACAUACGAUUUCUGUCGAUCUGAAGCUACUUUCAAACUAUCGUGAAUUAUUUUCACUUUAUCUUCGCUCUCUCUGAACAAAUCAACCCCAUGAAUCUUUUUCUCACUAAGCUCGGUCCAAUACAAUGGAGUUUAGCAUUUACAACCAUAUAAUGCUUUAUACGGUGCCAUCUUUAUGCUCUAUUGGAAAUUGUUGUUAUACGUGAAUUCAACCAACGGUAAAUAUUUUUCCUAGUUGCCUUCAAACUCUAAAACACAGCAACGAAGCAUAUCUUCGAGAAUCUGGAUUACUCUCUCAGACUGACUGUCUGUUUGCGGAUGAAAUGCAGUACUAAAGUGCAACCGCGUACCCAAAGCUUCUUGCAAUUUCUUCCAAAAUUGCGACGUAAACCUUGGAUCUUUAUCUGAAAUAAUAGAAAUUGGCACCCUGUACAAUCUAACAACCUCAGAGAUGUACAAUUUAACUAAUUUACGGAGCAAAAAGUCUAUAAGUACCAAAACUCGCAUUUGCUAAAUUUAGCAAACAAUUGUUUAUCUCUCAAGGUUUGUAAUAAAAUUCUCAAAUGUUCAGCUUGUUCAGAUUCAUCUCGGGAAUAGAUCAGAAUGUUAUCGAUAAAUACAACAACAAAUCUGUCCAAAUACGGUCUAAAGAUUCGAUUCAUCAAAUCUAUAAAAACUGUAGGAGUGCUAGUUAAUUCGAAUAGUAUAACAAGAAAUUCAUAAUGCCCGUACCUUGUUCUGAAUGCAGUUUUCGAUACAUUCGAAUCUUUAACUCUCAAUUGAUAAUAACCAAAUCGUAGAUCAAUCUUUGAGAAUACCAUUGCUUCUUUUAACUGAUCAAACAAAUCAUCAAUUCUCGGCAAAUGAUAUUUAUUCUUAAUUAUAACCUUGUUGAGAUGACGAUAGUCAAUACACAGUCUCAUCAACCAUCAUUCUUCUUUACGAACAAAACUGGUGCACCGUAGGGCGAAAACUAGGUUGUGCAAAACCUCUAUCUGUUAACUCUUGCAACUGAGCUUUUAACUCUUUCAAUUAUGCCAGAGCCAUUUUGUAUGGAGCUAUCGAUAUUGGUGAUGUUCCAGGUACUAAUUCAAUAGCAAACUCGACAUUUCUGAUUAGUGGCAACCCAAGUAACGCUUUUGGAAACACAUCCAAAUAUUCACAAACCACUAGCACUAAUUUAAUCUUCGAUUCAGCCACUUUUGUAUCCAUCACAUACGCAAGGUAAGCAUCACAACCUUUUCUCACAUAUUUUUGUGCUAACAUCGUCGAUAUCACAAUAGGCAACUUACUUGACUCAUCAGAUUAAAUUCAAAGAAUUUCAUCAUUAUGACAUCUCAAUUCAAUAGUAUUUCAUCUACAAUUCACAAUAGCAUCAUGCAGAGUCAACUAAUCCAUACCCAAAAUCACAUCAAAUUUAUCAAAUGGUAAAAGCAUCAAAUCAGCCAGAAAAUAGUAACCCCAAGUCAUCAAAGGAUAAUUCUUACAAACUUUAUCAACUAGGACAUACUUACCUAAUGGGUUCAAUACUUUAAUCACAAAUUCCGUAGACUUAAUAGGAAAACUCUUACUAGACACUAAAUUCAUAUAGACAUAUGAAUGAGUCAAUCCAGGAUCAAUCAAAGAAAUUACAUCAGUGUCAUAGAGAAAAAAUGUACCGGUGAUAACAUCUGGUGAUGACGUAUCUUUGCGAGCGCGAAUAGCGUAAGCUCUGGUUUGUGUUCAAGCCUCGAAUCUCACAACAGAAUCCUUUGUCACACCUUUGCUACUAGUCACAUUUCCUAUAUUUCUAGGUAGUCUCCCUCUAGCAGCUGUAUUGCUCAGUCUUACAUUCAAAAAUUUAUCUUUCUCGAGUAUCCCAGGACAAUCCCAAAUAAAGUGAUCUUGCGAGCCACAUUUGAAAUUUAUUAUUCAUCCAGUGGUCUCUAAAAUGUCAUCUUCCACACUGUUGACACUUGGGUUUGUUGGUUCUAACACUACCAACACUCGAUAUUGAAGUGGCUUGGGCUUUAGAACUCAUGUAUUGCUUCCCACGAUCUCUAUUAGAAAACACCACUGAAUCAUUUGAACGAUUAUACAAAUCCUGUUAUUUCUUUGAUGAAGAGUGAUAGGGUUUAUUCAUCAACCUCUUUCUCGAAUCUCUAGCAUCAGAAUCAACUUUUCUAUUUUCUUUGCCAAGUUCUUUGGCUUUACAAGCUUUGUCAACUAACACAACAAAUUCUUUCAAUUCAAGAAUCCCGACUAAAAGUCUAAUGUCUUCGUUCAACCCGUCUUCGAAUCACUUACACAUAAUUGCCUCAGUGGAUACACAUUUUCGAGCAUAUUUACUAAGUGUUACAAAUUCUCUCUCAUACUCUGUCAUUGAUAUUCGACCCUGUUUCAACUCUAGAAAUUCUUUGCAUUUUUUAUCAAUAAAUCGCUAGCUUAUGUAUUUCUUUCUGAACUUGGUUUGAAAGAAUUCUCACAUGACUCUUUCUCUCAGCACCACAGAUAUUAAAGUGUUCCACCAUUGAUAUGCAGUAUCUUUUAGAAGUGAUACGGCCUAUUUAACACAUUCAGCUGGCGUGCAAGAUAAUUCAUCAAAUACUCAGAUUGUAUUCUCAAGCCAAAACUCAGCUCUCUCAAGAUCGUCAUCAACUGUAGCUCUAAACUCUUCAGCCCCAUAUUUUUUAAUUUUAUCCACUGGUGGCUUACUCAAACAUAAAUGUUCCAAACCUUGAGGAGCUACGGGACUGGUUGGUGAAUAGGUAGAGGUGGAUGUUACUGAACAGAUGGAUUAGUUCGGACAAACUCAGUAAACCAUUCGUUCAUCAUUUGGAAGAAGGUUUCUUUGGCCUCUUCUCCUUAACUCCUAGAUAUGGGUCUCGACUCAGACUGUGCUACUCAAUGAACAGAGGCUGGCGCAUUACUUUCAACAUCAUCAGCCACUGCUCGAUUGGGAUCCAUUACUAUAUAAAACCACGAUUUAAAACUGUCAGGAGAUAUCACACUAUCACAGGUUAUAUAUGGCAUGUAUAGCUAGACUCUUACUAGCUACAUUAGUCCUAAAAUCGACUAAACAAUAGCUCUGAUACCAAUAAAUGUAACACCCUUAACCUGUAUCCAUCAUCAGAAUAGAAUUACGGAGUAUUACCAGACUUAUUUCAUAAAUAAUUAUACAUUUCACAUACAUUUUUCAUUUCCAAAUAUAAAUCAUUCAUAAUCAAUCACAUUGUCCCUAAUACGAGCCUACGAUGCCCAAAUUAUGCAUUAGAAGUAGUUCGAGACUAAACCGAUAACUCAGGAAAUUUUUGGAAAAACAUAGAAAAUUUUACAAAAUCAAGGAACACAUGCCCGUGUGACCCGACCGUGUGUCUCACAAGGCCAAAGACACACCCGUGUCACAAGCCGUAUGGACAUUCAAAAUGGGAUCACAUAGUCGUGUCCCAGCCCAUGUCUGACCCCGUGUAACUCCCUAAUUUGCGUCACACAGCCAACCACACGCCUGUGUGACUAGCCUGUGUGCCAUUCGAAAUGGCCUCACACUCCCGUGUGCCAGGCCGUGUACUAGGUUGUGCCAAACCUGUAGGGUAUACUGACUUAUGCCACGCAGUCAAGUCAUACGCCCGUGCACUGGGCCUUGUGGAACAUAUUGACUUGGUUUAUAAUUAAACACCAGGGGAUACACGUCUGUGUCACUUGACCGUGUGUCACACACGGCUGAGACACACACCCGUAUCUCUACCCGUAUAGACAAAAAUAGGCUAUUUAUCAAGCCAUCUUGCUCACCCAAAUUUGCAUUCACCUAUACAAUUCAAAUGGCAUAUAACAUGACAUAAAUAAGCAUUCAAACCAAUCUCAAACAAGUCUAAUUAAUGCCAAUUCCAUACCAACAACCACAAGACACUCAAAUAUCACAAUAAGCCAUUCAAUUCAUACCAAUUUCACAUUUUCAAAUCACCUAAAUAGUCACUUUCAAUUAUGCAUCACUUCACCUAAAACCUCAAGCAUACCAAUAUCAAAUUUCAACCAUUUGGUACUCCAAAUACCAACUCACAAUAAACAAUCAUAUAACAAUUAUACACAACAUAUCGGAGGGCCAUUUGUACAUAUAUAUAUAAAUCACCAAACAUGCCAAAAUAAGCCAAAUUACAUGGUUAUACACAUAGCCAAGCAUUCAUCAUUUACAAGCCAAAUCAAAUGGCUAAAUCCAUUAUCAUACUAUAAAUUAUAAUGACCAUAAUUUCUAUACAUGCCAUAUAACCAAAAUCAUAAUUUCAAAAGUACCAAAAUGAAAGGUUGAUAGUGUGAUGAGAUCUCUGAAGACUCCCAAAUCUGAACAAGCUUCAAUAAUCACUAUAAAACACAGAAAAGUAAACAAAGCAAGCUAUAAAGCUUAGUAAGUUCGUAUAGUAAUAAAUUCAACUUACCAUAUAUACACAAUUUAAAAAAUUAAACAUAUCAAAAUAUAACUCAUAUUGAUCCACAGACCUAUCACAUAUUCAUUCACAAGGUUAGAUAUGAAAUUCACAAAUUUCUUCGAUUCAAUGCUUGUAUGUUUUAUGUACAUACUUGUAUCAACUCGUACCAAUUUCAUACUCAUCCAUAUCCUUGAUAUACCCGUUGAACCAUUUGGAAUAAUAUCAUAUACUCGGGAAUCUUGCACCCUAAGUGCCAAUACAUAGCCAAAGCUAUCUCAAUCUCAUAUCUCAUAUAAUAUUCACUCUCGAGUUAUCAACGGGUCUACUCACACAAGCUGGCAGUCAAGAUGUAACUAUACGGUGCUGCUCACACAAGCUGACGAGAAUCAGCAACACAUGUCGGAUAACUCAGCCACCGGUAGGACGUACGGACCAGCACCUAAAACACAUAACCCCUAAUGACAUGUCAUUUGUAUCCUAAUCUAUUCCUAUGGUUCAACCGGGAUUUUCACAUUGUUGAAUCUUGGUCGAACAUAUCUGUAAGGUCGUAUUCACAAUUAAUUCAAUACUAAAGCAUUUAAAACACAUUAUAUUAAUGUUUAUUAACGUGCAAACUUACCUCGAUCACAAAAAUGACAAAAUGGAUCGACUAGUCCAAUACUUUAUUUUUCCCCCGAUCUAGAUCUGAACUUUGCUUUUCUUGAUCUAUAUAAUAUCAAAUUUAACUUAUUCAAUUAUCAUUCUAUUCAAUUUAGCUCAAAAAUCACAUUAUGGCAAAAUUUCACUUUUUCCCCUAAUAUUUCAACAUCUUUACAAAUUAGUCCUUAACUCAUAAAAAUACAAAUUCAUGAGAUUAGGUCCCUACUCAUGCUAGCUGAAUUUAUUUUAUUAUCAUAACAGCCCAUAUUUUUCAUUAAUUCACACAUUUAUCACAUAAUUUUCAUUUUUCACAAAUAAAUUCCCAAUUUGCAAUUUCACCCAAAAUCACUUAACAAAUGUUGUUUAUCUAACAACAACCAUUCAUUUUAUAUCAUCAAACAUCAAAAUACACACAUAUUUAUUAAUAUAAAAACCCUAAACCUUUAAAAAUUUUGCAAAAUAGUCCUUGGGCUAGCUAGAUUAAGUUACAACGACUCCAAAAACAUAAAAGUCAUUAAAAACCGAGUCAAAAUCACUUACAUGCAAGCUAAAGAUUGAUCCGAAUGUUUUAAAGCCCUAAAUGUGUUCUUCCUUCUUCAAAUUUCAGCUAGGAAGAAGAUGAAUGAAAUAAAAUGGCAUUUUGUUUUAUUAAUUUAUCAAUUAAUUACCUAUUUACUUAAUUAACCUUUAUAAUUAAUUUAAAUUACAAAAUUGCCAAGCCAUUAUCAUUCACUAACAUAUUAGUGGGCUAAUUACCACAUAAGGACCUCCACGUUAAGGUUCUAUAGCUAUUAGACACCUUUAGCUAAUAGAACUCAAGUUUUACACUUUAUGCGAUUUAGUUCUUUUUAUCAAAUUGAACACUCAAACAAUAAAAUUUCUUAACGAAAAUUUUACACAAUCAUACUAACAUUCAUGUAUACAUUAAAAUAAUAAUAAAAUAUUAUAUUGACCUUAAAUUUGUGGUCCCAAAACUAUUAUUCCCAUUUGACUAAAAAUAGGUUGUUACAAUACUAUUUGGCAACUUUCCACCCUGUCCCAAACAGGGUGAACCACCCAUGUCCACCACCUACCCAUCCUUGUAUCAACACAACCCAUAAAGAUUAUUUCUUUUAGGUUCAUGGCUUCCCUUUCCAACAGUGUCUUUUCUAAAGUUCGAAUCUUUAUUCUCUCCUUAUAAAUACAAUGUGUCUUGCCAUUACACUCAAAACUUAUUAAUGGUUCCUUCAUAUUAUAUUAUAAAUCAUAUUUUAAUUGUUUUUCAUAUAAUAAAAUCAUAUAUAUAACUACAUAUAAAAGGAAAUCCCUAAUGGUCUUCUUUUGUUGACAUGUGUAAAGCCAAUUGUGCACAUUUUUUACAUUAUAAAAAUGGUUAGAUUUCAAUUUUAAUCCUUCUAUUAUGCUUAAAUUUGACAUUUGAUUUCUAAACUUUAGUUUUUAAUAUAAUUUGCUCUCUAUAAUUUUAUAAUAUUAUUAGUUAGUCUAAAUAGUUAACAUCAAUAACUUUUAAAUUAAAAUGUUGCUGAAUUAUAUAUAACUUAAAUGUUGUAAGGUUCUUAGAUAUUGACACGCAGCUUCUCAUUUAUUUUGUGUUUGUCUUUUUCUUUUCUUUUUUUUUACAUUAUAAGACAAUGGUCAAAUUUCAGCUUGACCCAUAUAUUUUAUUGAAUUUGAGAUUUAAUCUAUAUACUUCAAUUUUUGGCAUAAUUUGGUUUUUUCUAUUUUUAUAAUGUUAUUAGUUAAUCUAAAUAGUUAAUAUUGUUAACUAUUUUCAAUCCAAAUGCUAAUGUUAAUUUUUCUUAAGAGUACUAAUCCAAUAAAAAUAUUUUUGAAUGGUAUUUUUAAGAAAAAAAUCCACUUCAACAUUUCAAGGUUACUUUUUUGUUACAUGAUUACUACUAAGUAAAUAUAUUUUUUAAAAUUUUUAAAUGUCACACUAAUAAAUUUAAUAAAAUAAUUUAACAGUAGUAACAAUUGGAUCUGAAUUUUAAAUUUUAAAAAAGUAAAAAAAUUAAAUAGUUGAAAAUAGAAACAAGAAAACUAUAUUUCAAAUGUACUCUAUUGUUUUAAAUUUAAUAAGACUUAAAUCAUAUUUUAACUCUUAAAUUUUUACUCCAUUAUUUGAUACAAACAAAUAACGAAGUGCGGAACUAGUAUAGUUAUAUUUAAAAGGCAUAAUGAUUUAUUUGGCCUUCUAAUUUUAUAAAAAGUCUUUUUAGCCCACUAUUUAUUUUUUUUACAUUUUUAGUCUUUAAAUUAACAUUUUUUUAUCAAAUCACCCAAUAAUAAUAAUAAUAAUAACAAUAAUGCCUAAUAUUACCAGUUAAUUAGGAGAAAUUUCCAUUUUGGGUGUUAAGUACUUUAAUCCAUCAUACAAUGAAAGAUUCACUUUUAUUUUUUUUGGUAAUUCAAUAAAAUAUUAAAUUAAAUCUUGAUAAUUUUGAACAUUAUAUGGUUAUAAGAUACAUACAUGGUUGAAUUAAACUAUAACAUGUAUAAAUGAAAAAGGAAGUCCAUUUUUUAUAUAAUUAUUGUUCCAAAUGUAUAAUAAUCAAUGAAUUUAAAAUUAAUAUUUAAGAGAUAAAUAAAAUUUAUAAUUUUCCUAAGAGCACAAAAAAAGAAACAUAAAAGAAAUAAGUAGGACCAUUGAUUGGGAAAGGAAAGAGUAUGAAAUAAACAGCAAAAUAUUGUCACCAUCAAAGAAAAAGAAAGGAAACUUGGUCCACUAAUAUGCCUACCCCUAGGGGGUCUAUAAGAGAUAUAGGGAUGUAGAAUUUUGGCUAAAAUUCUUUAGAUUGGACCAUAACCAAUAUUAAAUUUGUGGUCUCCCUAAUCAACCUAACAAAACCCUAGUGAUGUCCAAUUUGUUCACCUAAUUCUCAAUUUACUCCCAUUUUUUUCCUUUAAAUAAUACAAAAGAGAUCUACUAUUUGUUAUAAUGAAAGGCAUUUGGUUAUGUAAUGAUGUUGAGAUUAAUGGCAUUUGAUUAUUGAAGUGUGGUUAUGCAUAAAUAUUUCCACUCAAAGCAAUGCCCAAACCAAGAGAAAAUAAUGAGUCCUCUUUAUUCAUUAUUACUUGUAUACAAUUUGAUUAAUGGGUGUUUCUAAAAUAAUAUUAUUUUUAAUUAAUUACUAUUACCAUUUAACUUGGAAUUUGUAUCUUGAUGUUUAAAAUUCUUUUAAAUUUUUAUUUGUAUAAAUUAUGGUGACUUGUAAAAAUAUAAGAAAUUAUUCAUUUCUUCUCUAAUGAGUGGAAAAUAUCGAGAAAAUGAAGAGAGAAGGGUUAGAUAAGACAAGUAUUGGGCGUAGAAGUAGGAAUGAUGGAUUGUGUCAGAUUUGAUUAUUUAGCAGUAAAAAGCCUCUUUCUCCCAAAACAUCUUUAACUGUUUCUUCACCUACUUUCAGUUUGCUUCUGCUUCAGCUUUUCGCAUCUCUUUCCUUUUCUUUCUCUUUUUUUAACUUUUACCAUUUCCACUCCUAAACUUCCAAUUGUGGCCACCCCAACCAACUACGCCACCACUAAAACAUGGUCUCUCCCACCGCCACCACCACCCUAUGAUCACCACCCCACCAACAUGUUAGGCCUCCAUAACAUCUUCCUUAUAGCUCCACCACCACAGGAAAACCAACAACAACAAGCCCCACCACCGCCGCCGCCACCACCACAACCCUUUAACCAAAACUACAACUUGACUGACACAAAUCUUUGGACUUCAAAGAGAAGCACCGCCCAAGAAUCAAUACCAGUUUUCCAAAAGAAAGAUGGAACCUUGAAUAAUGUUGAAGAAGAAGAUGAUGAUGAAAGUGGUGCUGCUGGUGGUUGCUUCAAGGUGUGUAGAGAUUGUGGGAAUAGGGCAAAGAAGGAGUGUGGAUAUAGUAGGUGUCGGACUUGUUGUAAGAGUCGAGGGUAUGAUUGUGCUACUCACGUGAAGAGCACAUGGGUGCCUGCUGCUAGGAGAAAAGACAGGAAGGUUUUAGUGAUCGGGGAUGAUGACGGCGGCGGAAAUGGUGGUUGGUCUUCCGGCUCCUCUUCUUGUGGUGGUAAAAGACAAAGGGUUUUGAAUUUGACUUCAAACGCUACUUCUAAGUCCUUGAAUUUUGAAGCAGGCACUUGUCACCAGGGUUUGCUUUCUCUUUAUCUUCUUCUUUCUUUUAUAAUCUUUCCUUCCAUUUUUCUUCAUCUAAGUAUCAAAUUUAUUGAAUCCAUGCCGAAGAAACCAUUGAAUUCAGGAUAAAACAAUGCUGGGAUUCUCUCUCUUUUUUUUUUUAAUUAAUGAAUGAUUGAAAUGUAUAGGAGUUAUUGAAUUUUAGUGUUCAAUGGAUGCUUUCAAUGUAUUGAGUUUGCUGGGUUAUUGAAUUCUCAUCUAAGUCUUUCAACUUUAAAUAUAUAACUAAGCUGAGAUAUUAUGCGACUGAAUGAUUUAUAUGUACUAAAUUUGUUGAACUGUUGUUUUACCAUAUAUAAAUUGUUCUCUGUUAGUAUAAAACUGGGUAUUUUGUUAAUUUCCAGAUUCAGGAUUUAAAGAAUCCUUACCGGUUCGAGUUCAAGCACCGGCGGUUUUCAGGUGUAUUCAAGUGACAGCCAUUAGUGAUGGUGAAUCAGAGAUUGCAUACCAAGCUACUGUGAAUAUAAGUGGCCAUGUUUUCAAGGGGUUCCUAUAUGACCAUGGAGCCGAUGUGAAAAACGAGUUUCCUUGCAUUUCAAAAGUCGUUUUUGAAAGCAGCAGCAGUGGAAGGGAUAGAGAUUCAUCUUCUCCGGUUGUUGAUCCAGCAAACACCAUUGCAGCCUCCGGUGACUGAGGAUCGGUUUAAGGUACAAUCUUUAGCACUCAACAUGUAAUGAUGUUUAUUUAGGUUCUAAAUGUGAUAGUUUAUGUGCUUGAUUGCAGUAAAAAAAUGAAUCAAAUAGGCCUAACAAUGUGAAGGUUACUUCAUACCCCAUAAAUCAUAGGAUUUUACAGUUUUAUCUUUUCUUCUUUUUUCUCCUUUUGCAUAUGCCUUCUAUGAGAUCAAAGACGGCAUCGGUGUGAAGCUUCGUGAACGAGAAGUGGUUCUUGUUCUAAUGUCACUAUCCAUCUUUGGUAAAAAAAAGCAAAAGAUUGUAUUUGCCAUGAUCUGCACUUCACUUCAGUGCUAGGCAUAUUUCCAAAAUAGGAAAGCACAUUAUUUGCAUAAAUGUUCAUCAUGUUGCUGAUAUGCAUCCUCAAAAACACUUCUGGGUCCACUCGCAGCAUCAGAUUCCUACAUCUAUGCAUGAAAUUUCAUCCGGUUUACAUUCGGAAUUUCCUCGAUAAAGAUUUCAUUAUCUUUUUAUUUUGUACCAUACACAAUGAUUAGCAUACAUGUCAAAAAGUUUAGUGCCUGUUGUUCGUGUGCUUUGCUUGGUUUCAUUGCCCUGUUUCCAGCGUGCGUAUAUUACUUAGGCACAGCCAUGAGAGUCAUAUAUGGAUAUUUGUUCAACACAGAUAUACAUUCUAACAAUCAUACCCCCAUACAUCCGGAGUAACAUGUUUUUGACAAGCUGGUUCUCUCUUAUUCUCCCUUUUAACUUUCUGUAUGUAUAUGCCAGGAGAUGAGCAGGAUUCAACCAAGCCAAUUUUGGUUGAAUGCACAUAUAUUAUACUACCUACAAAAUUCAUGCUUUACUUUUUUUCUUUAAGAAGAUCGCAGUCCGAGAUAAGAGAAAGGUUGUGCAUGCUGAGAUUUAAACUCUAGAUUUGCUGGAUGUCAAUACAUCUAACCCCAAGUUCCAUGCUUUCCAUUUCAACCCUAUAAGAAGUGGGAUACCGUUCUCUGCUCUACAAACCUUGCAAUUAUGGACAGUACUUCUUCGACUUAGUUUUGGCCGGUCAGAAGCAAGGCAAAUUGCGCUUUGCUGUUUUAGAAUCCGGGUCAGUUGCUUUCUGCGCUCAAUAACAGAGAGUCUCCAUAGAAAGAAUUAAGUUUCCGAUUUUGAAGAGUUUAUUUGAAUGAGAUGUUAAUGUCAGUGACUUAAGGCAUUGAAAGGUUUCCAAUAUGAGAACAUUCUACAUAAGUGAAUGAUGUAUGCAUGUUUGUAGUUAUAUAAAUGUUUUUGGGCAGAUUUCUUGUUCUACAAGGAAGACUCAUAUUCUAGAAAUGCUGCAAUUAUGGAGUGGGUGAAGAAAACCAGAUGAAAUAUUUGCCAUUGAAUCUAAUACAUGUAUGCUUGUAUUAAAAAUGGAGUUAAUGAGCAAAUAUUGAAAUCUGACACAAUUUUAUCGCUAUAUUUUAAUUUAAUGUUGAAGUUUGUCUUUAUUGAAUUUUACCACUAAAUUUUUGUUUUGAUUCAAUUUUAAUUUUCAAUAAUUUGGAAAAUUAUUCAUUUUUUAUUAUUUUAAUUAACAAUCAGAAAUUUAAAAAAAAUUAUUUUAUAAAAAAAACUAAAGUUACUUUUUUUUAUUUUCUGAUUAUUAUUUUAAAAAUUUUCAAGUCUUUAUUUCAUUAAAUAAUAUUUAUGUUAAUUUUUUAUUUUUUUAAUGUUUAUAGACUAAUUGAUUUUUAAGUACUAAAAGCAAAUAUUUGAAUUCUUUUAGUAAAGUUUUAUCUUCAAAUCAUUAAAAUAUUAUUAUGACUAUUGAAAAAUGAAUAACUUAUAAUAAUCAUAAUUAGUAUUUGAUUAAGAAGUGAAAAGGAAAAUAAAACAAAUAUUAUAAUUAUUUUUAUUUCAAUCCUAACUUUUCUUGUACAAUAGUUUAUAUAAAGAAUAAAGCAGAUUAAGAAAAAGGAAAAAAGAUAUUUUAUGUAUUAGAAAACAUUUAAAAUUUCCUUUCCCCCUAAAUAAAAAUACGGAGUAUUUUCAGCUUAUGGAUCAAUUAUUUUUAUUUAUUUUUUUGAUAAUUUUUUACCUGGAUAUUAAACAUGAAAAAUGAUUGUAUGAAACUGUAAUUUCAUAUUCUAUCUCUUUUUGAUGAGAGAAUAAAAAAUCAAACUUCUCCUACUGAUUUUCAAAAAUCUAAUUUAUUAUCAACGUGAAAUUAUAGUUUCAUACAAGAUAAUCCCUUCUAAUUUAAACAUAUGAGGUGUUUACAUUUUUGACAUAGUUGUAGGUUUUUGUUUUAGAAUUGAAGGUAAAGGAAAUUGGAGCAAUAAAAUUGAGGGAAGCAGCUGCAGCAUCCCCACGAGAGUUGGCAUGAACAUUUGGCAGCAUAACAAAGUCCACAGGCGGGGGCUAAUCCAUAAAUCUCAGGCCAGGACCAUUGUUGGCCACAUUUUCCACCCCUUGUCAAAUCAAUCGCCUUCAUUUUUCUUCUGGAACCUUCUCAGGGAACAAUGUCCUUUGACAGUUGACUACUUUCUUAAUCCAUUGAUCACAUUGUUUUGCCGACUACAUUACAGUUGGUUGGAGUUAUCCAUUAAUAUCAUACACCAAGAUUAGAAGUCCAUGAGAGGAAAUAAAGUUUAUAUAUUUGUUUUAGCAUUGCUUUUAAUGUAAUACAUAACAAAAAAAAAAAAAAAACCCAUUCAUCAUAUGAAAAUUUCAUGGAAAGCUCAGCGUGGGUUUACUCGUGUGGGAGGAGGACAGGACUUAAAAAUGGGCCUUGUAUGUAUUGGAAACUCACUACAAUAUGAUGUGCAUUGUUUGCUGCUACAAAUGCCAAUGUUGAUUGACGUUAGCUUUGGAAAAUGAUAAGUGGACCAUGCAUUCAUUUCUUCAGUAACAACCUCUAAAAUGAAGUGCUUUAUCAAGGAGAUUUAAUAUUAUUUUUAAAAAAUUAUUAAUAAAAUCAUAUAAAUUCAAUAGCUUGUUAUCAUACAAACAGUGUAGCAAAAUUUUUCAUCUUCAAUAUAUAUAAAAGCAACUAAAUGUUAGUUUAGUUCAAACAAAACCCUUCCUAUACAUGAUAAUAUCAAGCUAGUUAGGUACAAAAAAAAAAAAAAGAAAAAAGAAUGAAUUCUAAUGUUUCACCAUUUGAACAAUUCAUUUACAUUUGAAACAGCCUUAACAACUGUGUUUGCAAUGUUAACCUAAACCUUCACCUCGUGUCAAUGACGGAAGCCGUAAACCUUUUCUUUUAAGCACUCGCAUCCCUGAAAAACGAUCGGGUGUAGACUGCUGCCGAAUUGAAAAUCUUGUAAAGAUCAUGAUGGCAUUUUCAAGUGUCUUCUACGAAAACUUUGAAAAUGAAAUCCCGGAAGCGUUUUGAAUACAACUUCGGGUCAACAGCAGAAAUCGAAGUUGGAUCAUAUUGCAUUGAUUUAUAUGCAUGCUCAAGCUUCUUGCUAAUAUCAUAGUCUUGUAGGAUGUCUAUUAUACCAAAGAAGAGAAUGACAUCAUACAUUACACCAGUUGGUUCUCCAACCACUUGGCAAUCGUUUUUCCUCACCGUCUUUUCGGCUCGAGCGGCCAUGUUUAUACCUAAACUAACCGGAGACUGCCUGCAUGUUUUCAUAUCGAAAGAUUCAUGUCAUGUAAUGUUUUAGAUCCAUAAAUUAUCAUGUUAAUGGCAAUCAAUUUUACCGUGUGGAGUUGAUAACAAGCUGAUCAUUGCUAUCUUCGGAUAGCCGAGGAGCUUCUCCAUUUUCACAAUCUCCAUUUCCUGCAAAUUAAGUCCAAAAGAUAUGUUAACCUGUUAAGCAACCAUUGAUUUCAAAGUCAUGGAAAUUUUAAUUUCCAUUAGAUAACUAGAAAUAAACCAGUAGGUGAGGAAACUCCAGAAGUAUGAGGUGUGGAAACUUCACGAAAGUGCAAACCGAUCAACAAACUGUAGUCCAUAAUUCUCUCGUUUUCAAGAAAGUCACAAUCUCGGUCGACUUGACUGCACGAAAGGAAUGGAAGAAAUAUUAGGUAACAUGAACCUUAAUAAUAAAGAGGUUAUUAGAAAAUAGAAUCACCUGCAGAACUCUUUGAACCACAGUUUCUGCAAUCGAAAUAUAUAAUUGAGAUCGAGGUCUUUGAGGGUUGUUGUUGAGUCAAUCUCUGCUUCAGGUUUAGCAGUUGUGCGACCUUGGAAAGAACCUUUCAAGUCGAAGCGCCUAUGAAUGGCAGUGUCGGUACAGAACAGAUUCCCCAUUACAACAAAUCGAACCUGACUCAUUGAGAUCACAAGUGAAGAAAGUAUGAGAUUUAUCUCCUACAUUUUAUUACCCCAAAGAUGUGUUUGAAGUUGCAUUGACACUACCUUUUUCUGUGUCGACCCAGUUAAUUUCACACAAUGAAGACCGAAAAAUUUGGUGACUAGAGUGUCCUUAAAGGACCGAACAUGAUUAUAGUAGGCAGGAAGCAUUCUUAUCAGAACCUGCAAAUGCAAUAGAGUCCGCAAUGAUGAUUAUUUAGUCAUCAAGAAAGUAAUGCAAAACUACUAGAAAUUGCAGGUUUACGGGUUCAUCACAAUAGAAAAAAGCAAUAAAAACUUACUUUUACUUCUGCCUUCUUCAUUGUCUUUAUCAUGUAUUUGUCAUCAUUGGUCAAGUAAAAAAAGCUUCCACUUUUCCCGGGGGAUGAAAGUUCCCGAAGGGCAUCAUCCCCACAUAUCGAAAGCAUGUAAUCAGCUGCAUCUAUAUUGAACAAUUUCCUUAGGGUCCUGGAAUUGUAAAAGAAAUGACAUGUUAGGAAAUACUUGUAAUGUAACCACUUAAUGGUGGUAUCAUAUUCAUAUCAUAUACUUCAAAAGUUAUUAUCAUGCAAUGAAUUGGAUGAAGUGAAUAUUUUAGUAUUCUUCCAUUUGCAUACAGCUUUUUUCAUGGUUAUGUUAUCAUACUAUAGUAGCACGAUCAAGAUGAAACGCUUCUUCAAAGAAUGAUUAUCUUUUUGAACAAGCAGAUGAUCCAGUGUCGAACCUGAACACAAGAGGACAGUAAUCCUUCCAUUUGAAUUCAGAAGAUGGAUGAGGCGGAGUGUGCUUCGAUCCUUCAGGUGGAAAUCUGGUCCAAAAUUUUUCCCUAGGAUCAAAGGCUGAUGUCUUCAAAUCAAGGGAUAAAGCUGGACCAGGCCUUCCAACAGAGUGUCUACAAUUUAACCAGAGAACCAAUACAUGCAUGAUUAGAAUAUAAAUUAUUUUAUCUCAAAACGGAAACGAGUUCGAUUUCAAUAAAUCUUCACAACAAAAUCAAUAAACAUAAUCUAAAAGGCAAUGCAUAUAGCGAUAAACAUAACCUAUACCUUCAGUACCAAGCACUUGCAUGAUUACAACAUAAAUCAUUAUACCUCAAAACAGAAAAUGAGUUCGACCUUCGCUGCAAUAUCGGUAAACAUAAUCUAGAAGGCAAAACAACAUAUACCCGAAAACAAAUAACAUUUGACAUUUCAUAACCAGAAGAAAAACAACAUAGAAGCUGAUAAGAUACAAGUAAAAACCAGUACCUGAUACCAAGUUGCAAGUUAAGCAUAAGCUCAAAAUUCUUGUGGCCUCUGGAUAUUGUCUGCCCUUGCCUCCGCGUUGGCGGCUUCUUAAGCUGUAGAGAACUCCCUCUUGCAACUGAAUCUUCAAGGUGAAGUCUUCCCACACUUCCAUCCCCAUGUCUUGAGAUUCCUUCACUACCAAAAGAAACACUUCCACCAUUGAAAUCUGAACUCAUACUAAAACCACUUAAACUCCCAUCAGACCUUCUUCUUUGUUUCCCAUCUUUCUCUUUGGAUAUUGCAAACCAAUUUGGCAUCUUUUCUGAAGGCCAAAUUGAUACUUUCUCACCACCACAUAUCUUACAGUCUUUCAGAUCCUCUAAAAACACCUGUUGAGGAUCCCAAUCAAAUUUCUCAGUUGGAGAAUCAGAUGGAUAAUAAGUUCCAUUUUGAUCUUUACCAUCUUUACUCCAAAUACCAACAAAAAAGCUCCCAUCUGGCCAUUUAUAAGUCCCAUUCCCUUUAGGAAAACCAUCCUCCCAAAAGCCAUCAUACCUAUUCCCAUUACUCCAAAUCAUUGUUCCAUUGCCAUUUAUCAACCCUUUCUUCCAUUGACCAAUAUAUUGGUUCCCAUUCUUCCAAUGGUACCUCCCAUAUCCUUCCUGGAAUCCACGGCGCCAUUCACCUUCAUAGUAAUCCCCAUUCACAAAACUAAUAGUCCCUUCUCCUUGUUUUAAGUUCAUAACCCAAGUCCCUUUAUAAGUUUCUCCUGAAAAGCCAGUGUAAGUCCCUUUACCAUCCAUAAAACCAUGCUUGAAUUCACCUUCAUAAGUAGCACCUGAAGGCCAACAGAACUUGCCUUUCCCUGUUGUUUUCCCUUUGAACCAUUCACCAACAUACAUACAUCCAUCAGUCCAUAAAUACUUCCCAUUGCCAUGAGGGCAACCAUCACACCAUUGGCCGGUAUAAAAGUCACCGCUAGGAAGGGCUUUUUCGACAUUGCCAACUUCAGCAGCCUCUUCAUCAUCAACAUGAGCAACUGACAUUGCUGUAAAUUCGCUUUCUUCUUUGCACCUGCUUGUGAGUUCUUAACUUCAAUUUCAAAUUCCUUUUUAAAGCUUAGCUUUCUGCUCAUUCCAUGAAUUAACAAAGAAAAACUAUAUCUUCAUUCAAAUUCAGCAUCUCUUCGUCCUUUCUUUAACCAAUAAAUCAAAAUAUCAAAAGAAAAAAAAAUUGUCUCUCUUUGUCUCUCUUUGUCUCUCUUUGUCUUUUGUCUUUUCUCUUUGCAUCAAUGUGGGGUCUUCAGGAACACUAAAAAAAUGAAGAAGAACAACAAUUCUGAAACUGACCUUGAAGAGAGCAAAUUGGAGGGAAAUGGAAUCAUCUAAAUAAACAAAUAAAACCAACACCAAAAAUCCAAUCUUUUUAUCAAAGUUUUGAGCUUUCUGGGUUGUUAAUUUGUUUGAAGAAAUGCGAGAUAUUGGAUUCAAGAAUAAAGCCAAAAAAUUGGAGAAAAUGGAAUAAAACUGGUUUCUUUCUCUCUUUUUUCUGGGAUUUCUUUUUCCUUUUGGUUUGGUUGAUUGAGAUCAUAGAACAAAACCAUUUUUGCUCAGGUUCUCGGAUUAGGUUCCUAAAAUAACUAGCUGGCCAAACAAUUGGAGGGAGAAUAGUAAGGGUUUCAUUGCCAUUUUUAGUGUCUGAAAAAAGAGUCCCUAUUACCACUAAUUUUAGUAUAUUAUUAUCAUUACUUCUCUCAAGUUGGUUUAUUUUUCUUCUUCAAAUUGCAAAUUUAUUUAUGUAACGUUCUUGUUAGACAAAGUCUUAUUUUGAUUUUUCAAUUUUGUCCUUGUGUUUUUAUGUAAUUUCCAGAUUUUCUCUAAUCUUUUGAUUGGAAUUCAAUUCGGUAACAACAUCAUAAACCAGAGCUUGAACAUGCAUAUAUAUAUAUAUAGUAAUAGUUAUCAAAAUUACUACAAAGCACUUGCAUUAAAUAAUAAUGUAGGGUGUGCUCUACUAUUAAUACACCAAAUUAAUCCAUCCAAUCGAUUUUUUAUUAAUUGGAGUAAUGGUUAUGAUCACUUUAUUUACAUAUAUCAAUUAAAAUUCAGGAUACUUCUCAAAAGAAAAAAAUAAGUACCUUCAAUCAAAUCAAUGUAUUUGAAAAGAUUGAUCUCCAUCCAUCAAAAGCUUGAACCAAACUUUAUUAUCAAGCAAUUUGGAGAAGAACUCACACUCCAAUGCAUUAACCAAGUAUUCAACUUUCCCAUAUUGACCUUGUCUCCUUCAGUGGACAACCAUGGAGUUCUUACAUUGUUCAAAACAGAACCAAAUUGCAAAAUGGACGUAUAUAUAGAGGAGCAACCAAAUUCCAGCCCAUUUUAAAAUUAAAAAGAAGACUGAAAACGUGUUUUUCAAGGGAGACGGAGAAAGAACAAAACAGCGAACAUUGUCUUAAAAGGUUUGGCUGGCCAAUGUUGAAACACGUCUCUCUCUCUAAUGGUGUGAUCUUAUUGCAAUCGUGCACCCUUGCUCGCUAUGUUUCAGGUUCAGACAAGGCGAACAUUGAAAAAUAAAUAAUAAUAAAAGAAGUUGAAAAUCCCUGAAACCUUGGACCCACUUUUUGGUUGGUUUCAUAAUUAGGAUGAAACUUGUCUUUUUCUUGCCCAUUUUAUCCGUCGAAAUUGUUGAUAUAAGCUUAAUUCUGGUUUUAAAGUGAUUUGAAGGGAAAAAAAAAUUUAAAGGAGAUCUGAAAAAUGUAUAAUACUUUAAUUUUAAGUGUUUGAUAGUAUUGUCAAAAUUAGAGGUAAAAUUUAUUAAUAAGUAUUGAAUAUAAUUAUAAAUGAUAUUACAUUCUCAAAAAAGAAAAUGUAAAUUUAAAGACGACAUUAUUAAGAGAAGUAAUCGUGAAUCUUAAUAUGAAUUAUAAAAUGAAUAUAAAAAAAUUGAAAAUAAAUUAUGAAUAAAAGUUAAAAUGUCCUUUUUUUUACAUGACAAUGUAAUGAUACAUGAAAUAUAAAUUUUAAAUAUAUUUUAAGUGAUUAAUUCAAAUUAUUUGUAAAAUUAAUAAUUCAAAAAAUAUAUAAUAUUUAAAUAAUUUAAUAUAAUAAUUGUGUUAAUAUUUAAAAAUUUUAAUAUAAUAAUAUAAUAUAUAUAAAUUAAUCUAAUUUUUAUAUACUUAAAUAAUUAAUUAAGGGUAUUUGAUAAUUUCAUUUCCAAAAGCAAAACUAAAAGACACUUGAAUCCCAACUUUUAAAUGAAGGAACUGCCCUAAAGUAUGUUUAGGGGUAGUCAUAUUUAAAGAUUUAAGAGUCUAUGCAUGAGUUUUGAUUUAGUUAAUUCUAGCUUGAAUUGUUCUGGUCAUAAUACAUACGGCGGGUCUCCGAGUCCCACCAAUGUUAUUAUUGUGCAUAGAUUUUGAUUUAGUUAAUUAUAAUUUGAAUUGUUCUAGUUUAGUCUGUUUGUGCUAUAAUUAUUUGAUUUUACGUUUUAUUUUAGCUCUUAAUCCAUUUGUAUUGUAAUAAUUUGGUUCUUUAUUUUAUAGUUGAUUGGAUAUAUACUUGUAUUUAUAUUUUAAUUAUACUUGAGAACUUUCAAAAACAACAACGAAACUAUUGAUUAAUACAAAAUUUUAAAUUAGAUUAAAAUAUUAAAAUUUUAACCUAUAUUAUUAAUAAUUAGAUUCAAUUGUUUAAUUUAAUCAAUUUAUAUUCUAUUUUAAUACAUUUAUGGAAAAUAAAAAUAUUACAAAAAUUAAAAUUUUAGUUUAAAAAUCAAACAACGAAAUAUAUAUAAAAAGAGUUCAAUAUUAUGUACAUAUAUACAUUCAUACUACAAAUUAAUAUGAUUUGUAAAAUCGAUAAUACUGAUAUGAUAUUGAUACUAUUUCACUUUUAUAUUAAAAUUAAUAUAUGUAUAGAUGUGAUAACUCGAAUACUAACCACCGCGAAAAGAGGCAAUAAAAGAGUUUUCAUUGUCAACAUAACCACACAAGAAUGGGCAAUUGGAAAUGGUAAAGUUUAAAACAAGCCCUACACAUGCAUCCAUUUUAUGCAUUAAGCAUAUGCGUUUGAUUUUGCAACAUGUUAUUUCUUGGUCUACCUUUUGGAAGGCUCUUGUCAAUUUAGCAUACAAUUCUUGUCUCUUCUUACCUUCCAAUGCUACAACUUUAAGAAGAGACAAGAUGGAGACAUGAAUUUAAAGCUGUUGUUUUACCAUUUGUAGCUUUAGACAAUCCAACACAAUCUUUCUCAUCAAAUUAUUUUUUGUGUUUCUUGAUUUUGACAUGGGUAUGGGUAUACAUAAAUUUGUUAAUUUUAAAAAUAUGAUGCUAAGACAAUAUGAAGUAUAGUCUUGAAUCGCGAAGUAGUAUUAUUAGAAAAGUAAUGGUUGACUAAUCUAAUUUUGGUAGAAAUUUCAACUUUUGUAUUAUAUGUUGUAUUUUUAAACAUCUACUUUGAAGUUUUAUUUUUGUGAAAGUUCGAAUUUUGGGUGAUAAUUUUCAAUUAUAAUCGAAAGAAUAAAAUUAUAUUAUGCUUGGAAAAUGAUUAUCCAAUUCUAAAGCAUGAUUUUUAGUUGAUAUUGGCAAUCAUGUUGAUUACACUUUAUGCCAUAACGAUCUUUUCUAUGUUUGUGUUAAACAGCUUUGGACGGCGCUAGGUCUAGUCCACGGAUCUUUAAGGUCUUUCUUUAUCUAUUAAAUAUUAAAUAUUUUUAAUAAUAUUCUCAAAACCUUUUUAGAAAUUGUCUUUUAUUUUAAAAAAAGAAAAUGGGAAUUGUCACUAAUCCUUUUUAUUAAGUGUGAUCCAAUUACCUCGUAAUUUAAUUAUUUUAACAAAAAUUUAGAUUUACUAAAACGAUGAUUUUCGAUUUACAAAAUCUAGGAAAUGAGUUUGGGAGUUGGUUAUGCACGAGGAAGGGUUACACCCUCAUAAUGCCUAAAAUUGGUACCUAGUUGAUUAGUUGAUGUCUUAGUGUCGAGAAUAGAAAAUUUAAAGAGAAUUUAAAACAAGAUCCCACUUUGCAUAAUGUUAUCUUUAAUUAAAAUCAUUUAAAUAAAUUAAAACGUCUAUAAGAGACCUUAUCUCGAGGUAACUAAAACGAAAAAGUCAUAUCCUAUAAAUAGGACAAGACGUCUCGAAUCCUUGAAAAUAAGCUUGCUCAUUAUUUAAUUAUUAUUUAAAUCUCAUGUGUUUUAGUUUUAAAAGGGAUAUUCGGUUUUCUAGGUUCAAAUAGAAAGUCAAGCUCCAUAAGUUAGGGCACAACUUCUCGAAUCUUCCAAUACAGAACAUUGCCUUAAUUUUAAUUUUUUUCCUUUUUUAUGCAUCGAGUAAAUACAAAUGUAACAUUUGAUUUAACUUAUUUGGACAUAGUAUAAAAAUGGGUAAGUAUAUUUUAAACAUGAUUGGUGGCGUGAUUGUAGCAAAAUAAAAUAAAAUAGAAAUGUGUAAAAAAUGAAACGAUGAUAACGAAAAAUAAAAAUGUCAUGCUAGUAAAUGACAAUGAUAUAACUAUAAUAAUAAAACACCAAUUCAUAAUAACAAUGGCAAUAAUCAUGUUAUAAUUACUAUUCUAAUACUAAUAUAAAUAAUCGACGAAAGAUAAAUGGUAAUAAUAAUAAUGAUAGGAACAACAAGUGCGCAAAUAAAAAGAAAUAUGAAUAAUAUAAAUUUUAAAUAUAAAAAGAAUAAAGAAAUAAUAAAUAAGUAAAUAAAUAAAAAUAAUAAUUCAUAAAAAGUUGAAUUAAAAUAAAUAAAGGACUUAAUCAGAACUUAAAUGAAAUUAAAAGCGAAAAUUAUAGAGAAAAACUAAACAAAUAAAUAAAUGAAAGCCUAAAAUGAAAACGCCAAAGUAAACAGGGACCAAAUGGGUUAUUAUUCCAAGCGCUGGGACACUUGUCGCUCCCGUAAUGGGUCCACAGUGGUCGAGAGACUAAAUUGCUCAAUAAACAAAACAAGAGGGAAAAAGUAAAAGCAAAAAUACUAAGCUAUAGGACAAAAUUGAAAAUAGUAAAAAAGCGAAAGGGCCAGAGCAGCAAUUAAACCCUCCAUUUAAAAAGUGCGCGGAUCCUAAAGGAAUCCUGGUCGGGUCCUCAGGUCAGCCUUUAAAAUGACGUCAUUUUGGGGCGUUUGAAACGGCGUCAUUUUAACAAGUCCAUAUAAAUUAAAAAUAUUAAAAAAAUCAUUUCAAUCCUGUUUUAAAAAAAAAUCUUUCCUCCCUUUUUUUUUUCUCUCGAUUCAGUCCCCUGUCCAGCUAAGGGUUGUAGCAUGUCCGCGAUGGCCACCGGUCUCGGCGAUCUCGACCGCCAUCUCCGGUGGCCUGAAAACCCCAAAAAAACUUUUUAGACCCUUUCUUCGAAUAUAACAUAGAUCUAGGGUUUAAAUCCCCGUCAACCUAACCGAUGUUCGGCCAAAGAAAAAGAAACCGAAAGGUUUCGCCCUUUUUCGAUGAGGCAUUUGAUGGAACCCUAAGGGGUUCAUAGGCUUCUCGAGUCAGAGGAAAGAGACCCACGACGGCAACGACGAUGGCGGUUUUCAAGUAAAGCUUAUUUUUUUUUAAACUUGUUCAUUUUGCAUCUUAUUCGAUUUUUUAUCUUUUAAUUUUUUCUCCUUAAUACAAUCUGUUGUUAUGGCUUUUAUAGCUAUAUAUUACAUACUAUUUAUUAUUUUUUUGUAUCUUCUUGCUGUUUCUGUUGUUUCUGCUUCUGUCCUCUUUCAUUCUCUUUGCAGGUACCCCUAGCGGUCAACAACGACAAUGAGAGUCGUGUCUUACCAUUUCAGUGUAAUGGUAGCAGGGAAGCAAACCUCGAGCGGUGAGUACGCCAACGUAGGGAACGACACGAAAGGGCUAGGGUUUUUUAGUUUUCUAAAAACUUAAGUUUUGGGCCUUAGGGUUUUGUGUUAUUGGGCUUGUAAUUUAGGUAAUGUAUUAGGCCCUUUUUUGGGUAAAUGGACUUGGAUUUUUUAUUUUUUGGUUUUUUAUAUUUUGUUUAUUUAUUUAUUGUUUUCGAUUGGACGAAAUUGGGCCCUUACAGCUCCCCUCUUUGCUCGUUGUCGUGUAACAAGAAUGGAACAAAGACUUUGAAAAGGUCUAAUUUUGUAUGGUCUUGUCGAAUCUCUACUUCUUUAGUGCUUCUCUUUUUGAACUAGCCUCAUUCUAACCCACUGCAACUUCAAGGGUAUAGGAUUUGUAGCUUUAUCUUGCUCCACUGCAACUUCAGAAGAUAAGAUUUGCUAUAGUAAGUUCAAUCCAACCCACUGUAACUUCAGGGGUAUAGGAUUGUAGCUUUAUCUUGCUCCAUUGCAACUUCAAGAAGAUAAGAUUUGUAGCUUUAUCUUGCUCCACUGCAACUUCGAGAAGAUAAGAUUGGUAGCUUCAAUCUGCUUCACUGCAACUUCAAGGUGAUAAGAUUCGUAGCUUCAAUCUGCUUCACUACAACUUUAGGAAGAUAAGAUUUGUAGUUUCAAUCUGCUCUACUGCAACUUCAGGGAGAUGAGAUUUGUAACUUCAAUCUGCUCCACUACAAUUUUAGAGAGAUAAGAUUUGUAGCUUCAUCUUGCUCCACUACAACUUUAGGGAGAUAAGAUUCGUUAUGGUAGAUUCAAUCCGACCCACUACAUCUUUAGGGGUAUAAGAUUUUUAGCAUCAAUCUAUUUCACUGCAACUUCAGAGAGAUAAGAUUUGUAGCUUUAAUUUGCUCCACUGCAAUUUUAAGGAGAUAAGAUUUGUAGCUUCAAUCUGCUCCACUGCAACUUCAGGGAGAUAAGAUUCUUUAUGGUAUAUUCAACCCAAUCUACUGUAACUUCAGGGGUAUAGGGUUUGUGGUUUCACUAAUCUGUUAAAUGGUUCUCUAGAGAACAUGACCUGUAGAAUCCAUUUCAUAGGCCUAUAUUUAUGCCUAGUGAUUAAGAUGUUAUGAUCAGAAUGAAUCAAAUACUCCUAACUAGAUGUAUGUGAAUGAUAUUUGUAUGAAUGCAGAAAUUCAUUUUCGAGAGCGAUCCCUUUUUAGUGUUUAAGUUGACAUUGCUCAUCAAGGUUUUAUCACUGAUGUGUUACUAUGCCUUCUUGUUCAGAUCUGGUAUCUUGACAAGAAACCUAAAGAAGUAAUCAUGAUUUAGACUAUUUGUUCCUAGAUAUUUCCAACCCUUAGAUUUGGUUAGUUCUAACUAGUGGUCAUGUUUCAAGUCCUUGUACUAUUUAGAAACCUUUUAGAGUAAUAUGCAAAAAUCCUUUUAGUAAUAUGCAAAAAUCCUUUUACUUGAAUAUUAUUAGUCCAUUAAUCAUUAUAAUAUCAAAAUACUUGAAAAGGGUUGUGACAAUAGAUAAUAUUGAAAUUUAUUGGGAGCAAAAGGGCAAAUGGUAACUUCUCAUACCAAUCUUUAUAAGUCUUUGUCAUUUUCCCCACAAUCUUUUUUAAUGUUUAUAUUGGUUGUCUCUACUGCACCAUUCUUUUUUCGGCGAUAUGGUGAUAAGUUGUGAUGUUUGAUCUUGAAUUGACUAUAGACCUCUGUUAUCAUACUGUUGUUUAAAUUCAAUGCAUUGCCAGAUAUAAUCAUUUCUGACAUCCCAUACUAACAUAUGAUCUCUUUCUGCAAGAAUUUGCUGACUGCUAACUUUGUGAAAUUGGCGUAAGAAGUGGCUUCUACCCACUUGGUGAAGUAGUCGAUGACCACAAAGAUAAAGUGAUGCCCAUUGGAGCUUUUGGCGAGAUCAGUUCAGUGACAUCCAUGCUACACAUAGAGAAAGGCCAUGGAGAAGUCAUAACAUAAAGAGGUGAAGGAGGCACAUGAAUUUUAUCUCUAUAAACUUGGCAUUUAUGACAUCUUUUGGCAUAACUGAUACAACCCCCUUCUAUGGUGGACCAAUAAUAUCCGAAUCUCAUGAUUUGCCUGACUAUUGUAAAACCAUUAGCAUGUGUUCCGCAAACACCCUCAUAGACUUCUUCCAAGAUUUUUUUGGCCUCAACAACGUCCACAGAUUUUAGUAGCACCUGAUUCUUUCUUCUUUUAUAUAUGAUCUCCCCAUUUAAGACAUAUUCAUUGGCCAAUCACCUAAGAGUCCUUUUAUCAUUCUCAGUUGCCUGAUCAGUAUAUUCAUGAUUUUUUACAUAUCGCAGUAUAUCAUGGUACCACCGGUGAUCAUCCUUUUCUUCUUCCUCGAUGUUGUAACAAUGGGUCAGAGCCUCGUAAAUACUCAUCUAGAUAGGUUUUACAUCCUCUUUCCUAUUCACUUUAACCAUGGAAGCUAAAGUAGCUAGGGCGUCAGCUAUCUAAUUUUCAUCUCGCGGGAGGUAGCAGAAGGUAAUGUCAUCAAACUCCUUAAUUAACUCAAAGACCAGCCUUCGAUAAUUGGUCAAAUUGGGGGUCUCUCGUCCCCCAUUCUCCUUUGAGUUGAUAGAUCAUUAGUACAGAAUCCCUAUAUAUCUCUAGUACCUUGAUCUUGUGUUCUAUGGCUACACGGAUACCCGUGAUGCAUGCUUCAUAUUCUGGCAUGUUAUUGGUGCAAUCAAAAUCAAGUUUACUGGUGAGAGGAUAAUAAUCUCCAUCCGGAGAUACUAGGACUACCUCGAUUUCGUUACCCAUAGCGUUUGAGGCUCCAUCAAAAUUUAGUUUCCAAGGAUGUCCUUUUUUAGCAUCUUCUUUAGUGGUUGGAACAUACAACAGAUCCUCGUUUGGGAACUCAAAAUUCAAAGGCUUGUAAUUUUCUAGAGCUCUAUUGGCUAGAAAAUCUACUAUUGCACUCCUUUUUACUACCUUCUGAUUUACAUAAAUUAUAUCAGAUUCGAAAAGUAAAAUUUGCUAUCGGGCCAUUUUUCCAUUUAAAGCAGUCGACUCCAUCAUGUACUUCAGAGGGUCCAUUUUUUAGAUUAGCCAAGUUGUAUGGUAUAACAUGUAUUGUCUUAGUCUUCGGGUUGUCUAGAUUAAGGCACAACACAACUUUUCAAUUGACGAGUAUCUUGCCUCACAUUCAGUAAACUUCUUACUAAGGUAAUAUAUCGCUCUUUCUUUCCUUCCUGACUCAUCAUGUUGGUCAAGCACGCAUCCCAUAGAAUCCCUAAAUACUACCAAGUACAGUAUCAAUGGCUUAUUUGGGCUAGGUGGCAUCAGUAUUGGGGCAUUAGUCAAGUAAUAUUUGACCUUGUCGAAAGUCUUCUGGUAUUCUUCAUCUCAUACACUUGGAUUAUAUUUCUUAAGGAGACAGAAUAUAGGGUCGCAUUUCUCGGUUAGUUGUGAAAUGAAUCGUACAAUGUAAUUUAAUCUUCCUAAGAAAUCGCGGACCUCAUUUUGAAUGCGCGGCGGUGGCAACUCCUGUAUAACCUUGACUUUAGCCGGAUUGAUCUCGAUCCCCUUCUCACUGACUACAAAUCCUAGAAAUUUUCCCGACUCAGCCUUGAAAGUACAUUUUACUAGAUUGAGUUUUAGCUGGAAUUUUCUUAACCUCAAAAAGAGUUUCCUCAAGACUUGUUCAUGUUCCUUUUCUAUUAAGGAUUUUGUGAUCAUAUCAUCGACAUAAACCUCGAUUUCUUUGUGCAUCAUAUCAUGAAACAAAGUUACCAUGGCUCUUUGAUAUGUCGCUCCCGCAUUUUUCAGUUCGAAUGACAUUACUUGAUAGUAAAAUGUUCCCCACAUGGUUACGAAUGUAGUCUUUUCCAUAUCUUCAAUAUGCAUCUUUAUUUGGUUGUAUCUGGAGAAUCCAUCCAUGAAGGAGAACAAUGAAUAACCUGUCGUGUUGUCCACUAAGGUGUCGAUGUGAGGUAAUAGGAAAUUAUCUUUCGGGCUGGAUUUAUUUAAAUCCCUAUAGUCUGCUCACAUUCGUACUUUCCCAUCUUUCUUAGGGACGAAGACUAUAUUGGCUACACACUCCGAGUAUUUAACUACUUGUAGGAAACCAGUGUCUAAUUAUUUUUUGACUUCUUUUAUUUUCCACAGGACAUUGGGCCUCAUCCUUUUAAGUUUCUGUUGAACCGACUUACAUUAUUCCUUUAUGGGGAGCCGGUGUACCUCGAUAUCAGUACUUAGACCAGACAUGUCUUGAUACAACCAUGUGAAGACAUCUUUGAAUUCUUGGAGUAACUGAAUGAGGUCUCGCUUUGUCUCUGUAGUGAUGCAAGCUCCGAUUUUUACCUCUUUCUUUUCUUUUUUGUCUCUCAAACUCACAAAUUCUAUUGACUCUUUAUAAGGUAGGAUUUGUUUCUUAUCUUGUUCCAUCAUCCUUAACAAAUCAGAAGAUAGGUUAUAAUCUCAGUCAUUUUCAAAGUCCUAAUGUUCCUCUAGACAUAUAUCCUGUUCAAAAGGAGACUCUGAAUCAGCAGUAGCGUCGCUCGUAUCAUUGAUAUAUGGAGAUCUGUUAUAGGAAUAAAGGAAGACCCCAAAAAAAUAAAUCUAGGAAUAAUUAUCUGUGUCGUAUGAAUAUGAAUGAAAUAGAAAAAUAAAAGGAUAUUUUCCAAAAUGAGACACAAAGAUGCAUUUUAUUGAAAUAAAAAUAGUGGAUAUAUGCAUUUUUCACAAAAGGAUUCUUAUUGCUCCUAGACUUAAAGCAAUAUUUGAACAUUACUCUGAAUUAGUUCUAAAAAUUAUAGGGAUCUCUUCUGUAGUUAAUUGUUUAAAACAUUUCUGGGGAUAUAAGAACAAAUGUAUGAUAAGUUUUAUUGUCUAAUUCAUUCUUUGGAUAUGGCAUUGAUGCUCAGGUUUUCCAACAUUUCUUUCGAACUUUCUUUCUCUAACAUUUUUCGUUCAAGAUAAAUGAUUUCUUCUGACACAAACAUUUUAAAUUUUAUGGGGAAACACCAUCGGUUCUCACUUGACCUCUCCUGACACGCUUUUUUUCUUUCUUGCUUCUUUUUCAGCUCAUUCUUCUUUUGCCUCACAUCUGGCUUGUACCCUAAGUCAAAGCGGUCUUGGUUGUCUAUCAGCAUUAGUGCCUCGGCUCUUUCUUGAAGGUAUUUUCUGAGUCCUCUUCCAGGUAAGGCUCAUUUCCCAACCGUCAACUGCAGGCCCAUCGUUGUGGUUUUAGAUUUUUUUUGUAUUGGAAUCUUCUUUCCUUCAAAAAUGAAAGUUGCAUUAACAAAUUCUAGUGAUCGAGAGGAAUAUUUUAUUGCCUCUUCAUCUGCUCCUAUGUAUGGUGUAUCACUAGUUACGGACGUAGUGAUAUCCUCUUUAGUAUUUAUUGUUUCCAGUUGACCCUCUGUUACCACUUUCAAUUUUUGGUGCAAUGACGACGGCACUGCCCCAGCCAAAUGAAUCCAAGGCCUACCCAAUAAGCAGUUAUAAGAGGUUUUGAUAUCCAUUACUAAAAAAUCUACCUCAUAUGUUUUCGAACCAAUUAAUAUAGGUAUUUUAAUUCUCCCCAUCACCCUCAUUUCUGUACCAUUAAAUGCUCUCACUAUAUUUUGGCACGUCUUCAUCUGAGAGCUAUCCACUAGUAAUCUAUUCAGUGUGGAUAGAGACAAGUCGUUCAGCAUAGAUCCAUUGUUGAUUAACACACCUAGCAAUGUAUAUCCUUUGUAGCGGGUAGUGAUGUGUAGAGCCUUCUUGGAUCCCAUGCCCACUGGAGGUAUUUCAUCAUCAUUGAAAAAGAUGAAAUUGUCGGCACUUAGAUUGUUAACCAAACGGUCUAGCUUGUUUACAAAGACAUCAUCAGUGACAUAAGUUUUAUUUAACACCUUCAUCAACAUGCUACUAUGUGUCUCUCUGAGCUCAAGAGUAAAGCUGUAACACCUUGAUUUUUGGGGUUAGAAGUUUGAGAUUCUAAGUAAGAGUCAAUGAGUAAGUCACGCACUUGGAAUAGUUUGCGUAUUUAAGUGACAGAAUGGGUCAGUUGGUCUGGUGUUUGAGUGAGUGUUAGUGAACCUCUAAGUUCUGGGUUCGAGUCCUUGUGUGUGCGUUUUGGGUAAUGUAUUUAUUAUUAUUAAUAAUGGACUUGUUUUAAUUUUAAAAUAUAAUUAUUAGUUUUAUUUUUAUUAUUUUGGGGAUUUUUACUUUUUUUGGGAAGUUCACGUUCUUUCUUCUUCUCUUGGCUUUUCUUUUUGGUUUUUUGGUUUUUCUACAUUUUCUUUUUGAAAAUGGUGUUUCUUGUGGAUUUUGGAGAGUCACUUGUUCGUCAUCAAGUUGGUGUUUGGACGUCUUUGAUACUGAAUCAAGUGUGGGUUUUGAAACUUUUCUAUUUUAUUUGGAAAUUGUAAAUUUGAUUUUAAUAGAAUGUGGCAAUCUUGGUGUCUUUCAGAAGUUGGUUAUCAAAGUUUGAUAGUACUGUUGACUGACAUGGAAAUCUACUUUGGUUAGUGUGUUUUUGAGUCCCAUCGAUUGAGGGUCGAUUUAGUGACUGAAAAACUCAAUUUUCAAAUUGUUUGUGGAUGGUUUCAUGUCCACACGGGUGGCCACACGAGUAUGUGCCCUCACACAGGCAGGCUAGGGGAUUUUAGUUUAUUUUCACAUGGCCAUGUCCCCUGGUUACAUAGGCGUAUGUGAUUGAAAAUUAGGGAUUUAGUGAUUUGGUGCUACACGGCCUGGCCACACAGCUGUUUGGCUAAUUUAGAGAUAUAGGGAUCCUACAUGGGAGUGUGUUUUGGACACUCGAUCGUUUCUGGUAGGCACACGGGUGUAUGAAACCCUCUCACGGUCGUGUCUACCCUGUACUCUAUUUUAGUUCAAUUGGAAAGUGAGUUACAUAGCCAGUUUACAUGGCCAUGUCCUUAGUUUACACGGGCGUGUGCCUCCCUCCACACGGGCGUUUUAACCCCACAUGGCCUAGGUUUUUCUACACAGUCGGAGCCUAAGGCCAUGUGGUUCUAAGUCACUAAUUUUGGUAUUAGUGUAUUUUUUGUGUUGAUUAUAAUUCUGUGUGUUUUGACCCUUGGCUAGCCUUUAGUGAGGGUCGUUAGGAUUCUAAUCUGGGCUUCGGCUUAUGGGCUGAUUGUGACUAUUGCGUGUAAUGUCUGACUCUGAACUUGGUUUGUUGGGUGUGUAUGUAUAUCCGAAAUUGUCUGAUUGUCUGUUGACAUGUUAUUGUUUCUGUGGGAUUGAAUGCAUACAUACAUUUGUAUAAAGUAAAAUUUUAAGGUUGGUUGUGAAGAGAAGGGAGGCUGAUUCUGAUCUGAUCUGGCAGUUCUACUACAAUUUUUGUGUACAGCUAUUUACAAAUUGUACAGCAUGUACGUCAGUUUGUUGCGUACCAUCAUCUGAUUUGGCAGUUUAAACUACAAUAUGACUGUACAGCAGACUACUGCUUUGCACUAUACUGCAUAUAAGUUAGCCUUGCUGCGUAUUAUAUUUUGAGUGUCUUAGUCCACAUUCUUAAAGUGUAGGGUUGGAUGGGCCUUUCGAGGUUCUAAUUGGAGUGAUUGGUUGGAUGAUCUUUAAAAGCUCUUUUGGGGUGUGAUCGAGGGACGGAGAGGUGUGUUGGCUGGGUGGAUGGAUUUUGGUACUUGACUACAUUCAUGUGCAUCGAUUAGUUGUAAAAUUAUUUGACCGUAUUAUGUUUGUUUGAAUAACACGUGUGUUAAGUGUUUUGUGUGUACUUGGUGUGCUCUUUUCUGAUUGUGUAUUAGGGGUACUGGUUCCUUGUCUGGUAUCUGUUUCUGCUUACAUCUGUAAGUAUGUGUUGUUUUGAACUGCCAUCUAGUUUUCUCCUCUGAAAUCUAUUUUUAACCUUUUUGGAACUCACAUUGAGCUCAUGUAGCUCAUCCCCUUAGUGUUUCCCCUUGCAAGUACGUUUCUGAACUCUGACGCUGGACACAGUAUGCGAAAGUUUCAGACAAUCACGGUUACAAAUAAAAUAACAGUUCUACUUUUGAUUUCCAUUUUGUUAUAUUGUUUUGAACCGUAAGAUUUUUCUAAAACUGUGGUACAAGCUCUAUUUGUUUUUCGUGUAAAUGUUGCUUUGUUCAUAAAAUUAAACUUAACCGUAAUUUUAUGGAUUAAAACUUAGAAGAUUAAAUGUUUUUGGUUCGAAAAGUAAUAAGUAUGAAUGUAAUGGUAUUUGAGAUAAUUUGUUUAGUAAAAUUUCUUACGAUCAUUUCGGUAAUCAAUGUAACAUCCGGGAUUCGGUCUAAACUUCUAAGCCAGGUUUAGGGUGUUACAAAAGCUAGUAUUAAUAUGCGAGUUGGUUGUUUGUGUAGCUGUUCUACAACACUAUACUUGUUAUGCUUCAAAAAUUUCAAGAAUUCCUUAGCCUCGUUCUCAGUUCCUAACUCAUUAAUAGGUGAUUCAAGUUUAGUCAUUUUUUUCUUUCUUAUGUUCAAUUGCUAGGGUUUUUCCUUUAACGAGCUCAGUUCUUACAUUUGCAGGGUCAUAGCUCCUCUUACUCGCAUGAAGAAACCAAUACUCUGGCCAUUUUCUGAAAUGCCAACCAAGUUUUCCUCUCCCUGGAUCAUCAUGUUGCAAUCAUAAUUCCAUGGAACCCUUUUGCUAUCCUUGUGGGGAAAAGCCACGGGUUUCUGAAUUAUGACUUUUGGCAUAACUUGGGCUCCCACUUCAUUACUUCUCGAUCGUGAAAUAAUCAUCACUGGGUGGUUGACCUUAUAAACUUUCUCCAUGGAUCCUUCCUCUAAGGCUCAAACAUCACCUCUUUCCAAACCUUUGACAUCUACGAAGAAUUCCAAUUCUUUGUUAUCCGUAAGACUUUGCACUAGAGCUCUGAACUCAACGUACUUUUGGAUUUCAUGACCUUCUUUAGCGUGGAACUCGCAAUAACUCCCCACUCCUUUGGGAAUCCCUUUUAAAUCUUGAAUGAUUAAUCUCGUGUCUAUUAUUUUUUGCCAAACCAAUUUUAGUAGGGAUUUCACUUCCACAACAUCGAUUUUGGUCCUCUUUCCCCCAUUCUUGAUUAUCGCAUUUACCCUUGGUCAGAAUGAUUGGGUAAUAGAUUUCCUGCCACAUUAGGUCCCGAUGGAUCUUCGAACCUUACAAUCCUCAUCUUAAUGAACCUUUCGAUCAACUUCUUGAAUGUAAUGCGAUUCUCAAUCGAGUGUCCCGUAAUUCGCGUGGUAUUCGCAUUAAGCAUUCGCAUCAUACCAUUUUGGAAACAGAGGGUGCAUGGGUUCUAAGUAAUACAGGGAUAUCACAUGUGUGUCAAACAAAUUCUGAUAUAACUCUCUAUAUGGUAUCGAGAUAGGUGUGAAUUAGAGUUUUUCCGUGUUUGGCUUUAAGUUAGAUUCUUGCUUCGAAAGGCCCUGAUGACUAGUUGUCAUGGUCCUCAGUUGGCCUACAGUGACCGAUUUUAAAUAGCUUUUAUUACACAUACUCGUGGUGUUUACUUCAUUUUCUUUUUUUCUCGGAUUAGUCAUUUUAACGUUUUUUCCUACGUCUAUUUUCCCACUUCUUACUGCAUUCUCAAUCAUUUCUCUAAACAUUACUAUAUCUGAGAAGCUCUUAGUAGCACUUCCCAGCAUAUGGCUAAUGAAUGGGGCUUUCAGUGUGUUUAUGAAAAAUAUUGUUAUCUCUUUCUCCAGAAGAUGUGGCUGAACUUCCAUUGCCACCUCUCUCCAUCUCUGAACGUAUUGCCUAAAGCUUUCACUUUGCUUCUUCUCCAUGUUUUGCAGCGUAAUUUGAUCGGGUGUCAUGUAGGUUACAUGGUUGUAUUGUUUUAUGAAAGCCUGUGCCAAGUCUUUCCAUGAGUUGAUUUUGACACGGCUUAGCUGAUUGUACCGUUUGGCAGCCGACCUGAUCAAACUAUCCUAGAAGCAAUGGAUUAACAAUUGGUCGUUAUUGACAUAUCCCAUCAUUCUUUGGCAGAACAUUGUGAUAUGGGUUUUAAGAAAACUAGUCCCAUUGUAUUUUUCGAAUAUUGAAGUUUUGAAUUUUAGUGGGAGCACUAGAUUUAGAACUAAACUCAAUUUCUUAACAUCGACCCCGCAAAGGUAAUCAAUAUACUCCAUAGCUCUAAAUUUCUCCUCCAACUACUUGCACUGAUAUUCUAGCUAUUUUGGUAAUUCUACUCUUGUUCUAUCCAUUUUUUCCAUGUCGUCCAAAUCUAAAACGACAAGGAUGGUCGGAUUAUCUUCGGGAUUAGAGCUUGAACCCGUUGGGGAAUUCACCGGUGCAGAGGUGCCAGCCUGGUAUUGUUGUGGUCUUAUGGUAACGAAUACCCUUUGUGGAUAUGUAUCUGGUUGGGCUUGGACAUUUACUCGGUAAAGCCUGGGGUUAUAUAAGGUCUUCAUAAUCAUCCUUAGAGUAAAUCAUAGUACUUUUCCCUUUUUUAAUCCUCCCGGCCAGCAACUGGGUCAACUGGCUUAUCAUGCUCCGUUGGGACUCUUGUAUUUGAUCCAUCAUGUCUUGCUAUACCUUAGCUAAUAGGUCCUGCAGCUGCGCUUGCAACUAAUCUUGCAUGUCUUUUGAAUUUGUUCUAAUCUCUCUAAACUUUGAUCCAUGACUUUGGUUUUGCCGCGGGUACCGUAAUGAUAUUCAGUUGGUAGAUUCUUGUUGGUUUCCAGGGUAACUGUCAUAAUUUCGAGUAAUUAGGGUCUUUUUAAAAAAUUGAAUGCAUUUGAUGAAACAUAAUACUGAGGAAUGAAAAAUGAAUGUAAAAAGAGGCAUUGAUUCUAAUUCAAUUCUAUUGGAACAACUUUACUAGAAAACAAAUUUUUUUUCAUAAAAUAGAUACAUUUUACAUAUACGGUCUUGCUCUAAUACUCAAAGCCUUGACUUUCCUAAGAAGCCAAGCUAAUUCUUGGCCCUGAUCUGAUUUUGAUUCAUAUCUUAAGCUCAGCAUGUCAUCUUGAACCAUUAGGGUUUGCAAAUGAUCGGCUACUUCCCGUACUUGAGUCACAGUUUCGCCCAUGAUGUGAUCUCUAUCCCUGAUCUGACCUUGAGAGCGUUGGAGUUGUUCUUUCCAAUGUUCAUUGUUUAAUUCAAGAAGCUCAAUUUAAAAUUCACAAUUUUACAGUACGGCCUCGAGCUCUUCUAUCUUUCCCUUCAACUCUUCAAUCUUAAUUAGGCUUGCUUUCAACUCAAUCAUAGAUUUACGACUACGAUAUUGAUGCAACGACCUUUCUAAUUCUACUACCCGAGCUCUCAACCUAACCUUUUCAUUUUGGCUUUCUAGCAAAUCCCUUUUUAGAGCGUCUUCUCGCACUCGAGCAUCUUGGAAUCUCUUUUCCACUGAUCAGCUCUAAUAUUUUCUUCUUGGAUUUCUAGCCACCAUUGUUUCGAUGUUUUACCCAACUUGACAGUCCUUAUUGACAAACGCAGUUUCUUAUAAUCUGUUUUUAAACUGUCCAAGUAUUUCCCAACCUUGUUUUUUCCUUUCUUUUUUUUUCUCGACUUCUAACUUCUGAACGUCGACAUCUAAUCCUAGCUAAAUCUUUUCCUUUUCCAACUUUUUUAUCCUUUUCCUUAGCUUCGAACUCCACUUUUCAAAGUCUUGCUCUACGAUCUCUAACUCAAACGGGAUCACUUGUAAGUGUUCUUCUAUUGACCGAGUGUUUUCUUGACUUGACACAGGGAUAUUGUUAUUGAUUCGUUUAUCCCACCACCAAUUAUAUUUGGGGGUCGUCAUGGGAUUUACGGAAAAUCUUUUCAUUUUGUGAGUUUGGUUCCAAGCGUUCAAUAUUUCACGAACUUUCUUAUUGUAAUUAUCACAUUUGUACGCAAAUUCACAUUGAGCCAGCCCUUGGGUUGUCAGUUUAAACUGCCUCGACCUAUACUACCUCAAUACAAGUAGAGGGGCAUAUGCAACAGCUCCUCAUAUCCCGAGCAAAAAUACCUAGCCGAAGUCUCCACAUCCGUAUAAAAUUUCAUUAGGGAUCAUCUAAGGGGCCAUGCAUUCAACAUUUUUGUCUUGGAGACUCUAGAGAAUUGCCAUUCACUUUUUUUCAGAACUGUUGUCUCGUCUUGGAAUAGCCACGAAUUCUUUUAACGGAGAGUAGUUUUCAAAGAACACUCGAUAAGAGAACUUUUCUACCUUCCAGAAAUGGCUAUGUGUAACGCCCCUAACUAGGCUGUUACACUAUGGAACCAAGCUAACAAGAGUUGUGCACACCUGAUAAAUCUUCUUUCAUUUUAAAAGUUUCAGCCAAAAUUGUCGGAACAGGCAUAACCCUUUUGUCAAGCCAGUCAAAUAGAUCUGAAACUGCAACAUUUAUGCACCCUAGUGCUUUGGGAAAAAUGACUAACCCGUAAAUACUCAAGGCGAAGACAUUGACUCUUUUCUUCGUAUCUGAAUGUGCCAAGAUCAAUUCCUGCGAAUUUUUCCAAGGGAUGUAUCUGCUAUCUCCUUUUUGUUUAAUUCGAGCCGCAACCAAUUGCUCGCUCCUCCCAGUUAUGCUCAUUAGCCUCUUUAAAAAAUUUGAGACGUUGGUAGCUCUAGAAUAAGCUUUGUUGGCUUGGAUCAUCGGGUAAUGGAGAAAAGCUGUGUACUUUUGUACGAUGGGCACCAAGUUUACCUUCCCAAAAGUGAAGCAGCCAUAGGUGGGAUUCCAAUAUUGGGCAAGAGCUCGAAAUAAGUGUUUAUCCACUUUGACAUCAAGUAAAUAAGGCAAAUCACCAUAGUCACGUUAGAAUAACUGCUUGGUUUUGUCAUCCUAUUGGUCCCACAUUUCUUUCAAAUAUUGGAGAUUAUUUUGAGUUACACUGAUGCGAGUGAAAUCCUAUAAUUCUGACAUGCACCCCUCUGUCAAGCUGUUACCCUUCUCUUGCUGUGUCUUCUUGAACCAUAUUCGUAUGGCUACAUUGUCUUCCACUUUAUCAUGAAAUCAUUUUUCCAUGACAAGCUCUCUAUUUAGCAAUUGAAUGCGAAUCAACACCCUUUUCUAUGAUAAAAAUGCAAUGCAAAUAGAGCCAAAACAAAACGAAACUAGUCAUUACAUUUCAUAUAGAGCUAGAAUACAAAGCAAGAAAUAAUAAAUAGAACAUCUAUCCAGGUGACCACUAAAGGUUUGAUAUGGUUCUACCUAGGGUAGGUUUUUAAGGUUUGUUAUAUGCGAUUCAAUUCUAAAGUAAGGGUACCUAAACUAACAGAUUCUUCAAUCCUCACCCAUUAUAGGCUCAUAUGGACCAAGUUCAAUUUAAGGGAAUACAUUUCCCUAUGGCUAUAUAGAGGUGAAGGCCUCACAAAGGAAUAGCUUCCAGUUCCCACUUAAAGAAGGUAAAAUAGAACGAUUGUGCAAUGCAAUAUAUGUGAAAACAUACAAAGUGAAACUCUCGAACCAAUAAAACAGAUGUACUAGAUCGCUAUGUAACUCGAGAUAUCAAAGACAAAAUAUGAAGGAUAAAAUGCAAUAAAGGGAUUGUUAAUUUAAACCAAAUUAUCAACUUUCGACAAAAAGACCAAAAAGUAAUUAACUCAUUGUAACAUCCUGAAAUAGGGCCUAGUCAGAAUAGUGGUUUCGGGACAAUAAAUUCGACAUUAAAAUAUUUACUUUAUGAUUAUUAAGAGGCCUAGAAUAUGAGUACAUGCAUGUGUUAAAGUUUCAUGAAGAAAUUCUUUGAGUAAGGUGUUCAAUCGGAAAUUAGGGACUAAAUUGAAUAAAUUGUAAAACUUGAAUUCUAGAAGAAAUUUGUAUGAAAUUGCUUUGGGUUAUGAAUUAGAAGGUCUUGGAGAUCAAUCCUCCCAAAUCCUAAGUUUUUGGAAAAAAAAUGGGCUUGCAUAGCUGAAAUUUUAAGGAAAGGGUUUAAGGGUAUUUUGGUUAUUUGAAAUUUUAAUGAAAUAAAAUGGAAAAAAAUGAACCAAAAUAAGCCCAUUCUCUUCCUUGUCCAGCUCAAACUUCAAGGGUUUCCAUAGAUAGGGUUUUCAAGCUUUCCAAGCUCAAUAGUAAGUGCUCACAAGCCCCGUUUUUCACGCUCUAUGUAUUUUUGAAAUCCUGGUAGCUUGCUCUUUCCAUUUCUACCAAUAUUUCAUGCUAGAGUUCAUGUUUAAAAAUUUACCUAUAAAUGAGUUGCUUGUAUUUUGAUGGAUUAUGGAGGAAUAUGAAAGAUGAAUGUGUAUUAAGCAUCUUUUCCUAGUUGACUUUCAUGAAAAACCCUUACAGGGACUAUUUUGCAAAAGAUAUAAAUGUGUGGUAGAAAUGAGAAAAUAAUGGAAAAUUUGGGCUACCAUAAGAAGUAAAAGUGUUCGACUAGGCUUGGGUAAGAUAGAAAGUGCAUGUGUUUCAUUAUACGAGCCUAGGGACAAAAUCAUAAAAAUGUGAAAGGUUAGGGGCAAAAUUGUCAUUUGGACCGGGGGUAGAUAUUAAACUUGAAAUGUAUAAUGUAGUGUAUUAAUGUGUUAAUUUUGUUGUUAUAGACCCUGAGGAACAAAUUUCGGAGGUCGAUCGACGUAAAUGCAAGGUUUCAAAAUAACCGAAACACAACUCCGAAAAGAAUACCAGGUAAGUUCAGAUAACUUAAAGUAAACCCCUAAUAUGCAUAAUUGAAUGAUUUAUGAAUGCAUGAUGAUUGCAUUUAUUAUUAGCAUGAAAUAUCAUAAAAAUGCAUAUUUGAUGGUAGCAUGUGAAAAAUGUCUCAAAUGAGGUUGACAAAGGGAAUUCGAUGGAUAAACCCUCAUUGAUAUGUGUAAAGAGAUCCUGCAUGUGUUGCAGUAAGGAUUUAUCCCGAACGGGUAAUCCAUGAUCUCAAGUAUGAAAAGGAUCUAGCCCGGACGGGUGUUCCUUGAAUGAUCAAGCCUCUCGAAGAAUAUGUUUGCAUUAUGGAUUUAGCCCGGACGGGUAAUCCAAUUAGGGUCUGAAUUUACCUGGACUAGUAAUUCAGAUCCGAGCUCAUUAAGGGUGUUUGUCGUGAUAAGGGAUUUAGCAUGGACUGGUAAUCCCGACAUCACCUUAUGAGUUCAUGAUAUGGGAGAUUUAGCCUGGAUUGGUAAUCCUGCCCUGAGAUGUGAGAUUCGUGGGAGUGCAUAUAUUUGAAAUGAUCAUUCGUAAAAAUUGACGGAUAAUGGGUAUUCCAUCGAGAUUUCCUAGAAACUCAAAGGAUUAAUAUAAUGGAUGUCAAUAAGAUGAUGAAUGAUAAGCUUAUCUACAUAAAUUACAUAAUGCUUUGUUAUGUAACUAACUCAUUGAUUGAGUGCAUGUGAUAGGGAAUCGUUUCAUAAUUGAUGAUUUCAUUAUUUGAAUAUGAAUGUAUGCUAAUUACUCGGUAAGUUUACUUUCCGGUUAUUCGAGCUUACUAAGCAUGUAAAUGCUUACCCCUCUUUUAUUUUUUCCUAUCUCACAGAGCUCGAGGACUCGAAAGGAUUGGAAGACGAUUGGAGAGUCAACACACUAUGUAAUACCCCCACCCGUAUUCAUUGCCGAAAUAGGGUACGAGGUAUUACCGGAGUUUACGAGUUAAAUUUUUUUCAAUAUAACCCCUUUUAUAAAUAUCUAACCUUUCCUGAAAUUUUAAACCAAAAAUAAUCCAUAUCAACCAACCUAAUUCAACAUAUUUUCAAGAUAGGUUAUCGCAUAUAUAUUCACGCAUCUUUAUAAGAUAACAUCAUCGCAUACCAAAACCAAGAUUUGUUAGCCAUACCAUUGGCUGACCUUACAUUCAUUUCACAGAAUCAUUUACUUUAUUAGCUUAUAAAUGCCAUUGAUUUCCAAAAUAAAGUUUUUUUUAUAUACCGAAAUCCUGAGGUUGAUAGUGUGAUGCGUCUCCAACCAAAUCCGACCUCCAAGCUCUUAACACUACAAAACAGGGGAAAAGGAUAUAGGGUAAGCACUUUGUGUUUAGUAAGCUCAUGUGACAAGAAUUAUACUUACCUAAUGUUUUCAAUACAAUACAAUAAACAUUCAUAUAUCCAUUCAAUGCAUUAUUACCCUAACAUGCACAAACUCAACAUUCAAGUUAGUACAAUAGUUUCCAUGUACCAAUAAUAUAUACUAUGAUUGAUGAGCUCAUCAAUACUAGGAUUUCCAUUUCCUUAUAUAUUUUUUUUCAUAUUUAUCUCGUUGAAUUCCUUGAAAUUUUCGAUGGAUUUUCAGAGGUACACUUUUAGUGUACAUUUUCGGGUCCGUCAAUUCAUAUUCGUGUGCGCACAUUUCCAUUUCAGAUAGCACACUCCCGCGAACCUCAUCCUUUCAACGGGAUUACCAGUCUAGGCUAAAUCCCCUGUAAUAUAAACUCAUAUAGUAUUGUCGGGGUUACCAGUCCAGGCUAAAUCCCCUGUAACGACAAUUACUCUAAUAAGCUUGGAUCUGAAUUACAAGUCUAGGCUAAAUUCAAACCCUAAUUCGGAUUACCCGUCCGGGCUAAAUCCAUCUUCCACAUAUUCUUCGGGAGGGCUAUAUCAGGAUAGGAUCACCCGUCCGGGCUAGAUCAUUUUUACCGUCAAUUCCUUUUCAGAGAUCCAUCAAAAUUUCCUUUCAUUCAACAGGGAUUUCUUCCCCUUUUUAUCAAAUAUAUCAAUGUUUCAUAAAUUUUCAUAUAUAUUCACAUCAAUAACAUACAUUUCAAGCAUUUAAGAAUAUAAUUCAAGUUACAUGAACUUACCUUGAUACUUGUUCGUGUACAAAAAUUUACUAAUCUUGAACUUUUUCCUUUCCCCGAUCUAGCUUCGUAUUUGAAUCUUCUGGAUCUAAAUAAAUAAAUUUAAUUAUGAAUUUAAUACAUUUCAUUUUCAUAUGCAACAAUUUUUAUAAUUUCAUUAUUAUUGUUUAUAGUUUAUUCAAAGCUGUCUAUUUGAGUCAUAGUCACUAAAUUAUUUAUAACUCAAGCUACGGAACUCCAAAUUAAGAUCCGUUAAUUUUACCUGAAAUUAAACUCACAUAUCUUCUUAACAUAAAAUAUUUAUAAUUUUUGGUUUAACCAAUAAGUACAUUUUAUUCUUUAAAUUCACCCCUAUUUUGCUGUCGCACAAUUCUGACCCUUCUUCAUUAAAAAUUAAUUAUCUCUGCAUACAAAAUUCAGAUGAUGUUAUUAUUUGUUUAUAUUGAAAAUAGACUCAUUCAGGAUUCUAAAAAUAUAAAUUUAAGCCCCUAAUUAUUUUUAUUAAAUUUUUUAUGAUUUUUCAAAGUUAGAACGGGGGAACUCAAAUUCAUUCUGACCUUGUCUCACAAAAUUCAUUAUAUCUCAUGAUUUACAGAUCCAUUACUUACACCGUUUCUUCUAUGAGAAACUAGACUCAAUAAGAUUUAAUUUUAUAUGUUUUUCAUCUUCUAAUUAGAUUCCUAAAAUUUAUGGUGAUUUUUGAAAGUUAGUCUACUGCUUCUGUCCAAAACUGUUUUAGUGCAAGAUGUUUAUUACCAUUUUUCCCUUAAGCUUUUAAUAAACAACAAUUUCGUCCCUGCUCAAUUAGCCUCUCAAUUGAGCUGAUUUUUCUCAAUUAACACUUUAUUCUAUCACCUCAAACUAGCUUACAACCUUUAGGAAUCAAAAUUUCAGUAAUAGACUUUAAUUCCGAACAUUUUCACAAUUAGGUCCUAAAAAUCAAUUUCUAUUGAAAUUACCUAAUAAAAUCAUCUCAUAAACAAAUUAAAGCUUUAAUUUCAUUCUAUUUCAUCAUAACAUUACACCACUCAACCAUGGUGACUUUCAAUUUCAUCCAUGAAAUCAAAAACUAAUGAAUUUAAUAGUAGGACCUAGUUGUAAAAGUCUUAGAAAUACAAAAAUUACAAGAAAAAGGCAAGGAUUAACUCACUUGGUGAAAAAAUUAUGGAAUACCGACUUAGCGAACCCUCCUAUGGCGUUUUUAGCUACUGGAAUUGAAGAAAAAUGAAGAGAAAUCUAGAUAUUUCCUAUUUAGUCCUAGCUUUAUUUAAUUAAUUUUGUAAUAUUCCAAUUUUACCCUUAAUUUAUCAAUUUUCCUGCUGAUUUCAUGCCUUUUUCGUCCAACCCAAAUAAAUUUUGGGUCUAAUUGUCUUUUAAAUCCUCUCUCAUUAGACACUUAAGCUAUUUAAUCAUCCCAUCCACUUUUACACCUUUUACAAUUUAGUCCUUUUCAUUUAAUUAACUAUCCAAACAUUAAAAUUUCCUAACGAAAUUUUAAUACCACAUUACUAACAUUUCAUAAAUAUUUAUAAAAUUAUUUUCGACUUGGUCUUAAGAGAUAGUGGUCCCGAUACCUUAUUUUACCCAAUUUCUUCAAUAAUUUCUUUUUUUAACUAACCACUAAAUCGGUAAAAUUUUUCUAUCAAUAUUUUCAUAUGAUUUUCUUAUCAUAUCAAUUUUCAUGCAAAAAUAUUGAAAUAAAUUUCUCUUUAAACGGAUUUGUGGUUACGAAACCACUGUUUCGAUAACUUUGAAUUUAGGCCAUUAUAACUCUCCCCCGCUUUAAGGAUUUUCGUCCUCGAAAAUCUUACCAGUAAAGAGAUUUGGUUAUUGUUUCCUCAUUGCCUCCUCCGGUUCCCAUGUCGCUUCCUCAAUCUCGUUCUUUUGCCACAAUACUUUCACCAAAUUUAUCUUUUUAUUUCUAAGCUCUUUUGUCUCCCGUGCCAAUAUCUUGACCGGUUUUUCACUGUAAGUCAUAUUCGGUUGAAUCUCCAUUUCUGUUGGAGAAAUAACAUGUGAAGGAUUUGAUCGAUUCAUCAUAACAUAGAUACAUGAAAAACAUUAUGGAUUCUAUCAAGUUCCGGUGGUAAUGCCAAUCGAUAAGCGACCGGUCCAAUUUUUUCUAUGAUUUGAUAUGGCCCGAUAAAUCUUGGAUUCAGUUUACCCUUUCGACUGAAUCGGAGGACUUUCUUCCAAGGAGACACUUUCAGGAAUACCUUGUCACUGACUUGAAAUUCAAUCUCUUUUCGUUUAAGAUCGGAAGCUACUUUUAGACUAUCCCGAAUAACCUUUACUUUUUCUUCUACUUCCCGGAUCAAAUCAACCCCAUGUAUCUUCCUUUCACUAAGCUCUGUCUAAUAUAACGGUGUUUUACAUUUUCUACCAUACAAAGCUUCAUACGCAGACAUUUUAAUACUGGAUUGAUAACUAUUAUUGUAAGCAAAUUCAAUCAAAGGUAGAUACCUCUCCCAAUUACUUUCAAACUCUAGUAUACAACAUCGAAGCAUAUCUUCCAAUACUUGAAUUACAAGCUCAGAUUGACCAUCUGUCUGAGGAUGAAAUGUAGUGCUGAAAUACAACUGAGUACCCAAGGCUUCUUGCAAUUUGUCCCAGAAAUGAGACGUAAAUCGGGGAUCUCUAUCUGAUAUAAUGGAGAUAGGCACUCCAUGUAGCCUGACAAUCUCAGAUAUAUAUAGUUCAGCUAGUUUAUCUAGAGAAUAAUUCAUACGUACCGGAAUAAAGUGCACUGACUUUGUCAAUCGGUCAACAAUCACCCAAAUAGCAUCUUUUUUCCUUGGAGACAAAAGGUAAUCCCGAUACAAAAUCCAUAGUGAUUCUUUCCCAUUUCCAUUUCAGUAUAGUAAUUUGCUGAAGUAACCCCGAAGGUACUUGAUGUUCAGCUUUAACUUGCUGACAUAUUAGACACUUUGAUACAAACUUAGAGAUAUCACGUUUCAUUCUCGACCACCAGUACAUCUUUUUUAGAUUAUUAUACAUUUUAUUACUCCCCGGAUAUACAGACAUAGUACUGCUGUGAGCCUCGCGUAAAAUCUUCUGUAUGAGCUCUAAAUUCUGAGGUACACAUACCCUACCUCUGAAUAACAAACAACCAUCAGAACCAAUCUGAAAUUCAGAAUCAUUACCUGACUCACACUGUGCCCGUUUAACCUGUAACUUCUCAUCAUUCUUUUGAGCUUCACAUAUUUGCUGUAAAAAUUUCGGUUUAGCUCUCAAUUUAGCUAUGAUUGAACCAUCAUCAGUCAGUGACAACCGGGUAUUCAUAGCUCGUAAAACAAAUAGAGAUUUCUGGCUCGAAGCAUCAGCUACAACAUUAGCUUUACUCAGAUGGUAAUCAAUAAUCAAAUCAUAGUCCUUUAUCAGUUCAAGCCGCCUGCGCUGUCUCAAAUUCAAAUCUUUCUGUGUCAACAAAUAUUUCAAGCUUUUAUGAUCAGUAUAAAUAUGACAUUUCUCAUCGUACAAGUAAUGCCGCCAUAUCUUCAGUGCAAAUACAAUAGCAGCUAAUUCAAGAUCAUGUACUGGAUAAUUGCUUUCAUGUAGUCUAAGUUGUCUUGAAGCAUAGGCUAUUACUUUACCUUCUUGCAUCAAGACACAACCUAAACCAUUUAAUGAGGCUGUAAAUAACAAAUGCCUUACCCGGUUCAGGCUGCACUAAUACAGGUGCUUUCGUUAGUAGAUCUUUCAAUCGGUUGAAACUUUGCUGACAUUCAUCAGUCCACUCGAACUUUACAUAUUUCUAGUUCUGAAGGCUAUUUUUGGCACGUCUGACUCCUUUACCCGUAACUGAUAAUAACCUGAUCGAGGAUCAAUCUUUGAAAACACAGUAGCACCUUUCAGCUGAUCAAAUAAAUUAUCAAUCUGGGGUAACAGGUACUUAUUCUUUUUGGUUACUUUAUUAAGUUGUCGGUAGUCGAUACACAAUCUCAAAGACCCGUCUUUCUUUUUCACAAACAGAACCGGAGCACCCCAAGGUGAAUGACUCAGUCAAAUAAAACCCCUGUCAACAAACUCUUGCAACUGUGUCUUUAACUCCUUUAAUUCUGUAGGAGUCAUCCGGUACGGAUCUAUGGAGAUCGGAGUAGUUCCCGGAAUCAAAUCUAUAGAAAAUUCCACUUCUCUUUCUGGUGGCAACCCUGGUAAUUCCUCUGAAAACACAUUGGAAACUUCACAUACUAUUGGCACUGCCUGUAUCCUUGACUCAGAUACCUUUGUGUCGAGUACAUAAGCCAAGUAAGCAUCAUACCCUUUUUUGACUUACCUCUGUGCUGCCAUUACUGAAAUUACAUCAAAUAACCCCUCUUUCUGAUUAGAUUUAACCCGAAGUAACUCACCAUUCUGACAUUUUAGCACAAUAUAUUUCUGUCUACAAUUUACUACUGCAUCAUGCUGGGUUAACCAAUCCAUGCCCAAUAUCACAUCAAAUUCAUCAAAUGACAAUAACAUCAAAUUAGCCGAGAAACAAUAACCUUUUACCACAGUGGACAAUUUUUACAAAUUUUAUCCACCAAAACAGAUUGACCCAGGGGGUUCGAGACUUUAACCAUAAAUUCAGUAGGUUCAAUAGAUAAAUUUUUAAUAAUUGCAAGUUUAACACAUAUAUAUGAAUGCGUAGAACCAGGAUCAAUCAAUGCAGUAAUAUCAGUAUCAAGUAAAGAAAAUGUACCAGUAAUAACAUCGGGUGCUGAGGCAUCUUCUCUGGCACGGAUGGCAUAUGUCCUAGCAGGUGCUCGUGCUUCAGACCUGCCUGCAAUAUCUUUCGUAGCUCCUCGGCUACCACUGACAUUACCAGAUGGUCGAGGUAGUCUACCCCUCGAAACUAGAUUGCUUAGCUUCGAUAUCUGCUCAGCUUCUUUUUCACCUCUUUUUGGACAAUCUCUAAGGAAAUGGUCGAAAGAACCACAUCGGUAACAAGCCCCACUCUUAAAUCGGCAUUCACCAAAAUGAAUUUUAUUACAGUACUGACAUCUCGGCUUAGGGGUACCAACACUGCCAACACUAGUAACUGAUGGAGUGGAAGGUCUUGGAUUAGUGCGUUGGGAACCUCGCUCUCUGCCCGAAUACCUAGUGGCUAAGGUAGAACGAUCCUGAUACUUCUUCAAUUUCUUUGAAGCAGAAAACUGGGAUUUUCCCAUCGGUCUUUUACUAAAUAUUCGAGCUUCCCUCUCAGCCUGUUUCUUUUCUUUGCUCAAUUCUUCUGCUUUAUAAGCUAUCUCUGCCAAUGUAGCAAACUCUUGAAUUUCAAGAAUUCCGAUCAGUAGCUUAAUGUUUUCAUUCAACCCUUCUUCAAAUCGUUUGCACAUUUCAACUUCUGACUGUACCCAUUCUCAAGCAUAUUUACUCAAUCGAACAAAUUCUCUUUCAUACUCAGAUACUGAUCUGUUACCCUGUUUCAGCUCAAGAAAUUCUUUUCUCUUCUAAUCAAGAAACCUCUGACUGAUAUAUUUUUUUCUGAACUCGGUCUGAAAGAAUUCCCAUGUAAUUUCUUCUUUCGGAACAACUGAAGCUUUAGUAUUCCACCAAUGGUAAGCUAUGUUUUUUAGCAGUAAGACGGCAAUUUCAGACAUUCUUUUGGUGUACAAGAUAAUUCUACCAAAACCCGAGUAGUGUUUUCUAACCAGAAUUCAGCCCGUUCGGAAUCAUCAUUAACUGCUGUUCGAAAUUCUUUGGCCCUAUAUUUUUGAAUUUUAUCUACUGGAGCUUUCCCUUUUCUUACAGAUUCAGUACUUGUACCCUGUGGGAUCUCAGGAACUGGGAGAGAAGCAGAAGGGGGAACUUGAACUUGCUGCACUACAGGGUUAGUUCUUAAGUAUUGACUAAACCAUUCAUUCAUCAUUUGAAAGAAGGCUCGUUUUGCCUCCUCCCCUCGAUCCUCUGUCUCGGGCCUUCUACUACUAGUUUCUUCUCUUUGUACUGAAGCCGGAGCAUGACUCCCAGCUUCCUCAAAUUGAGCUCGGUCGGUAGACAUUUACUAUAAGAAAAACACAUUUAAAUGGUCAGGAGAUAUCACACUAUCAAUAAUAAUUUAAAUGGCAUGUAUAGCUAAUCCCGUAUUUGCUACAUCGAUCCUAGAACCGGCUAAAUCGUAGCUCUGAUACCAACAAAUGUAAUACCCCUUACCCGUAUUCAUUGUCGAAAUAGGGUACGAGGUAUUACCGGAGUUUACGAGUUAAAAUUUUUUUUCAAUAUAACCCCUUUUAUAAAUAUCUAACCUUCGCUGAAAUUUUAAACCAAAAAUAAUCCAUAUCAACCAACCCAAUUCAACAUAUUUUCAAGAUAGGUUAUCGCAUAUAUAUUCACGCAUAUUUAUAAGAUAACAUCAUUGCAUACCAAAACCAAGAUUUGUUAGCCAUACCAUUGGCUGACCUUACAUUUAUUUCACAAAAUUAUUUACUUUAUUAGCUUAUAUAUGCCAUUAAUUUCCAAAAUAAAGUUUUUUUAUAUACCGAAAUCCUGAGGUUGAUAGUGUGAUGUGUCUCCAACCAAAUCCGACCUCCGAGUUCUUAACACUACAAAACAGGGGAAAAGGAAAUAGGGUAAGCACUUUGUGCUUAGUAAGCUCAUGUAACAAGAAUUAUACUUACCUAAUAUUUUCAAUACAAUACAAUAAACAUUCAUAUAUCCAUUCAAUGUAUUAUUACCCUAACAUGCACAAAGUCAACAUUCAAGUUAGUACAAUAAUUUCCAUGUACCAAUAAUAUACACUAUGAUUGAUGAGCUCAUCAAUACCAUGAUUUCCAUUUCCUUAUAUAUUUUUUUCAUAUUUAUCCCGUUGAAUUUCUUGGAAUUUUUGAUGGAUUUUCAGAGGUACACUUUUAGUGUACAUUUCCGGGUCUGUCAAUUCAUAUCCAUGUGCUCACAUUUCCAUUUCAGAGAGCACACUCUCGUGAACCUCAUCCUUACAGCGGGAUUACCAGUCCAGGCUAAAUCCCUGCAACAAAAAUUACUCUAAUGAGCUUGGAUCUGAAUUACAAGUCCAGGCUAAAUUCAGACCCUAAUUCGGAUUACCCGUCCGGGCUAAAUCCAUUUUCCACAUAUUCUUCGGGAGGGCUACAUCAGGAUAGGAUCACCUGUCCGGGCUAGAUCCUUUUUACUGUCAAUUCCUUUUCAAAGAUCCAUCGAAAUUUCCUUUCAUUCAACCGGGAUUUCUUCCCCUUUUUAUCAAAUAUAUCAAUGUUUUAUAAAUUUUCAUACAAUGACCUUUCAAAUCAUAUUCACAUCAAUAACAUACAUUUUAAGCAUUUAAGAAUAUAAUUCAAGUUACAUGAACUUACCUUGAUACUUGUUUUUGUACAAAAAUCUAUUAAUCCUGAACUUUUUCCUUUCCUCGAUCUAGCUUCGUAUUUGAAUCUUCUGUAUCUAAAUAAAUAAAUUUAAUUAUCAAUUUAAUACAUUUCAUUUUUAUAUGCAACAAUUUCUAUAAUUUCAUUAUUAUUAUUUAUAGUUUAUUCAAAGCUGUCCAUUUGAGUCAUAGUCACUAAAUUAUUUAUAACUCAAGCUACGGAACUCCAAAUUAAGAUCCAUUAAUUUUCCCUGAAAUUAGACUCAUAUAUAUUCUUACCAUAAAAGUUUUAUAAUUUUUGGUUUCUCCAAUAAGUAUAUUUUAUUCUUUAAAUUCACCCAUGUUCUGCUGUCUAAUAGUUCUGACCCUUCUUCACUAAAAAUUAAUUAUCUCUUCAUAUAGAAUUCAGAUGAUGUUCCUGUUUGUUUCUAUUGAAAAUAGACUCAUUCAGGAUUCUAGAAAUAUAAAUUUAAGGCCAUAAUUAUUUCUAUUAAAUUUUUUAUGAUUUUUCAAAGUCAAAACAGGGGAACUCAAAUUCAUUCUGACCUUGUCUCACAAAAUUCAUUAUAUCUCAUGAUUUAUAGAUCCAUUGCUUACACCGUUUCUUCUAUGAGAAACUAGACUCAAUAAGAUUUAAUUUCAUAUUUUGUUCAUCUUCUCAUUCAAUUCUUAAAAUUUAUGGUGAUUUUUUAAAAUUAGUCUACUGCUGCUGUCCAAAACUGUUUUAGUGCAAGCUGUUUAUUACCAUUUUUCCCUUAAGCUUUUAAUAAAUAACAAUUUCGUCCCUACUCAAUUAGCCUCUCAAUUGAGCUGAUUUUUCUCAACUAACACUUUAUUCUAUCACCUCAAACUAGCUUACAACCUUUAGGAAUCAAAAUUUCAUUAAUAGACUUUAAUUCCAAACAUUUUCACAAUUAGGUCCUAAAAAUUAAUUUCUAUUGAAAUUACCUAAUAAAAUCAUCUCAUAAACAAAUUAAAGCUUUAAUUUCAAUCUAUUUCAUCAUAAACUUACACCACUCAACCAUGGUGACUUUCAAUUUCAUCCAUGAAAUCAAAAACUAAUGAAUUUAAUAGUAGGACCUAGUUGUAAAAGUCUUAGAAAUACAAAAAUUAUAAGAAAAAGGCAAGGAUUAACUCACUUGGUGAAAAAAUUAUGGAAUACCGACUUAGCGAACCCUCCUAUGGCAUUUUUAGCUGCUGGAAUUGAAGAGAAAUGAAGAGAAAUCUAGAUAUUUCCUAUUUAGUCCUAGCUUUAUUUAGUUAAUUUUGCAAUAUUCUAAUUUUGCCCUUAAUUUAUCAAUUUUCCUGCUGAUUUCAUGCCCUCGCCGUCUAGUCCAAAUAAAUUUUGGGUCUUAUUGCCUUUUAAAUCCUCUCUCAUUAGACACUUAAGCUAUUUAAUCAUCCCAUCCACUUUUACACCUUUUUCAGGUUAGUCCUUUUCAUUUAAUUAACUAUCCAAACAUUAAAAUUUCAUAACGAAAUUUUAAUACCACAUUACUAACAUUUCAUAAAUAAUUAUAAAAUUAUUUUCGACUCGGUCGUACGAGAUAGAGGUUCUGAUACCUUAUUUUACCCAAUUUCUUUAAUAAUUUCAUUUUUUAACUAACCACUAAAUCGGUAAAAUUUUUCUAUCAAUAUUUUCAUACGAUUUUCCUAUCAUAUCAAUUUUAAUGCAAAAAUAUUGAAAUAAAUCUCUCUUUAAACCGAAUAUCUGGUUACGAAACCACUGUUUUGAUAACAUUGAAUUUAGGUCAUUACACACUAUCAGCUAGACAAGCUUUGGUAUAAAGACUUUGUUUGUUUUGUUCAAUGGCAUGUAUAGUAUUUUUGAGUAUUUUAUAUGUGUCAUUUGAUUUUCCAAAUGAAGGCAUGUAAAAUAAUAUGUUUAUCUCUUUGUAUAUGGCCACGAAAAUUGGAUUAAUUGAAGUAGGCUAUGACCUACGAAUUUAUGCAUGGUUUUAUUUACAAGUGAUGGGUCGUUAUCAAUUGGCAAUUAGUUACAUGAACGAGUCAAUUUCGGAUGAAUUAAAGUGACAUGGGAAUCCAUAAACACUAAAUGGGAAAUAACCUAUUAUGUAUUGAACCAAUGAUAUGAGGUUUUCAUACAUCUAGUUUAAUCAAAAUUAUUUUCAAGUGUAUAAUUGUAUUUUAUUUUGAAUUUGAUAACCACUAAGCACAAGUAGUAGCAAGGGGUGGCUAAAGGCUUGGAAAAUAGCCUAUUAGAGUCCACAUGGUUAGACACACGGGCGUGUGCUAUGGUCGUGUGUCCCCUGCACUUAAAAUUUUAACUCAAAGUUGUACAUGGGUAGGCCACACGGGCGUGCACCAUAGCCGUGUCGAAAAGACAGUGUUGUCCACGGGCAGGCAGCACGGGUGUGUGCCAUGGCCGUGUUGAUAAGUCAGUGUUGCCCACGGCUGAAGGGCAUCGGCGUGCCCCAAGUCACAUGGGCGUGUGAGUCCACACGGCCCAUAUACACGGGCGUGUGACCCUUUAUGAUAAAGAAAAAUUUCCUAAGGAGCCAACUUAAAAUUUGAGUAAAACUUGGUGACCCAAUUUGGUACGUUUCAAAAUGUAAAGUCCUGGUAAUGCUUUGAACCCUAUCCCGGUGUCGGGUACGAUUGAGGGGUUUUACAUUUAUUGGUAUCAGAGCUACGGUUUAGUCGAUUCUAGGACUACCGUAAAGGAUGUUAAAGUUUGCUAUACAUGCCAUUAUUCGAAUGUUGAUAGUGUGACAUCUUCUAAUUGUUUAAACUAUUUUGAAUAUAGUGAAUGUCUUCCAAUCAAGCACAAGAUGAGUCCGAGAGAGCCGAAAGCCAUGCUUCAACUUCCGUACAGUGAGCUGUACUUAGUAGUAGUAGAAGGCUCAUGUCAGAAGGCUGAAAAGAGGCCCGAUCUCUCUUCUUUGAUAUGAUGGAUGAAUGGUUUGGGGAUUAUCUGAGAAAUCGCCCCAAUACACCAAGACCUCUUCCGCCCCUAACCAACCUGAUGAGGAUGUGCCACGAGGUAUGGCACCAGUGAGAAUCAGUAAAGCCUCUGUAGAUAAGCUUAAAAAGUAUGAGGCUGAGGAAUUCAGAGUUAAAGUUGAUGAUGACGCCGAAAGAGCCGAGUUCUGGCUCGAAAAUACUACACAGGUGCUAGAUGAUUUGUCAUGCACACUAGAGGAAUGUUUGAAGUGUGUUGUGUCCUUUUUGAAGGACACUGGAUACAAUUGGUGAAAGAAUGUAUCCUUGGUAGUGCCAAAAGAAAAUAUUACUUGGGAUUUCUUCCAAGCAGAGUUUAGGAAGAAAUAUAUUAGCCAAUGGUUUUUGGACUCGAAGUGAAAUGAGUUCCUGGAACUCAAACAAGGGAAUAAGACUGUAGCGGAAUACGAGAGAGAGUUCGUACGACUAAGUUAGUACGCAACUAAAUGGGUUCAAACUGAAUCAAAAAUGUGUAAACGCUUCGAGGAAGGUCUGAAUGAGGAUAUCAAGUUGUUGAUUGGGAUCUUGGAAUUACGGGAGUUUGUAGCAUUGGUCGAUCAAGCCAAGAAGGCCGAUAAACUUAAUAAUGAAAGAAAACAAGCUAAGAGAGAUGCUCGAGUUGCAAGCAAGAGGUCUAGCGGUGAAACACUCUCGUUCUCCACAUAGAAAACCAUGAGCCUACAUGAAUGCUCCACUUUGUCUGUGGGAUAUUGGGGUAGAUCGAGAAGCUCUAAACGACAAGGUCAAAAGCCUUUUUCCCCGAUGGUGACUAGUGUGGGGAGUGUAGAUGAUCAAAAACUGAAGUGUAAGAGCUGUAACAAAUUUCACUUCAGAGAGUGCCGAAUGAAAAGCAGCACAUUUUUUAGAUAUGGUUCUCUUGAUCACUUUCUCAGAAACUACCCGGAACGAGCCGAAAAAGAAGUGGAAAUAGUUCUGAAGUCGAGUGCUCCCAUUCUACGAGGUAGACCUCUGAGAUACCUUGGGAGUGCUAGUGGCAUUCGAGUCGGGACUAAAGAUGCUAUAAAAUUAGAGGUUUGAGCCCCGAUAAGAAUGUAUGCGAUACGUGCUCGAGAGGAAGCCAAUGAUCCUGAUGUUAUUACGGGUACUUUCUCUCUUUUUAAUAUAAGUGUUGUUGCAUUAAUUGACCCAGGGUCGACGCAUUCAUAUAUCUGCAUGAGAUUGGCUUCUAGUAUGAACUUAACUAUUGAACAUACGGAAGAUAUUAUUAGAGUGUCAAACCUACUAGGAUAUUAUUAGAGUGUCAAACCUACUAGGCAGAUCAGUUCUAGUUGAUAAAGUCUAUAAGGAUUGUCCUUUGACGAUCCAAGGUCGUUGUUUCCCGGAUAACCUUAUGUUGUUACCAUUUGAUGAAUUUGAUGUAAUACUUGGUAUGGAUUGGCUAGCCCUUCAUGAAGUAACAGUGAAUUUUGGAAGUAAGUAUAUUAAGUUAAAAUGCCCGAAUGGUAAGAUUCUACGAGUCGAAUAAAGAGAAUUGGGUUUGUCAUCGGUUGUAAUCACGGUAAUGGUUGCCCAGAGAUAUAUGAGGAAAGGAUAUGAAGCCUACCUUGCAUUUGUACUGAACACUAAGGAAACAAACCUAAAAAUUGAGUCUAUGCCGAUAGUAUGUGAGUACCCAGAUGUGUUUUCGGAGGAAUUACCUGGAUUACCUCCUGAAAGGGAGAUAAAGUUUGGUAUUGAAUUGGUGCCAGGGACGACUCCCAUUUCUAUUUCCCUGUACAAAAUGGCACCUACUGAGCUGAAGGAGUUAAAAGCAUAGUUGCAAAAACUGAGGGAUAAAGGAUUUGCUAGGCCAAGUUUUUCACCUUGGGGUGCCCCUGUGUUCUUCAUAAAGAAGAAAGAUGGUUCAAUGAGGUUAUGUGUCGAUUAUCGGCAACUGAACAAGGUGACUAUCAAGAAUAAGUAUCAUUUGCCAAGGAACAAUGAUUUUUUUGACUAGUUGAGUAGAGCCACCGUAUUCUCCAAUAUAGACUUGAGGUCUGGUUAUUAUCAGCUGCGAGUUAAAGACUCGAAUGUACCCAAGACAUCUUUUAGAAUGAGGUAUGGCCAUUAUGAAUUUCUUGUCAUGCCGUUUAGGCUAACGAAUGCACCGGCUGUGUUUAUGGAUCUAAUGAAUUGGAUUUUUCGGCCAUAUUUGGAUAAAUUUGUCGUUGUGUUUAUUGACGACAUUUUGAUCUACUCUAAAGAUGAGACAGAACAUGCAAAGCAUCUGAGAAUUGUGUUGCAGACCUUGUGGGAAAAGCAACUGUAUGCUAAGUUUAGCAAGAGUGAGUUUUGGCUCCAAAAAGUUAGAUUUUUGGGUCAUAUAGUUUUGGGUGAAGGCAUCCGAGUUGAUCCAAGUAAGAUUUUUGCAAUUGUUGACUAGAAAUCGCCUAAGAAUGUAACCGAUGUUAGAAGCUUUUUGGGCUUAGCCAGUUACUAUCGAAGGUUUGUACAUAAUAGCGACUCCGAUGACGAAACUGCUACAGAAAGACGUUAAGUUUGAAUGGACAGAGAAGUGUCAACAACGUUUUGAGAAGUUAAAGACAUUACUGACCGAAGCUCCUGUUUUAGUGUUACCUGAACCGAGAAAAGAGUUUGUGGUCAACAAUGAUGCAUCCUUAAAUGGAUUGAGUUGUGUGCUUAUGUAAGAUGACAACCUGACAGCCUAUGCUUCACGGCAAUUGAAG